GCAACUGGUCUUAUUUUGGUCUCAUGUUGCCCUGGUGGACAAGCAUCAAAUGUUGCAACUUACAUAUCGAAGGGAAAUGUUGCGCUUUCAGUUCUUAUGACCACGUAAGCUUGAUGUUGCUUGUUAAAAGAAAGUAUAUUGAUUUGGACACUGCAUGCCUGCUGUCAGUUACUGUCACUAGCUUUUUAAGUUAUUGAGUUCAUCUGAUGUCAGCUCUCUUUGUAACACCAUUUCCACAAAAUUAGUGUGAACAAUGGUUGCACUCCUAAACAGUUUGCUGUUGUCUUAAUCAAAAUUUGGAUUUAUUUUGAUUUAAUUGAGCCUUCCAUGUUGAAACUUUUGAAGUACGGAAAUGUCAGGUUUAGCUAGCUUCUAUGGGAUUUUGUACUUUGUCUAGUAUCAUAGCAGUGCAUUUUUUUUUUUGGUAGAAUUUGAUGAGCAGACCAUUUAACUGUUGCAUAUCCUAUUGUCAUGUUGUGCUACUUAAUUUUUAUGCUAUGUUGCUUCCUUCAGUCUACUGCUCUAUUGCACUCUAACAUUUUACUCCCUUCAUGUUUUAGCUGUUCAACUAUUGGUGCUAUAAUAAUGACACCCCUCCUGACUAAACUCCUUGCUGGUCAACUAGUUCCUGUUGAUGCAGCAGUAAGGGCACUACAAUCCUGUCCCUAUUUGUUUCCUUAAUCUUGUCUGCUUGAGUUAAAAGGUUAUUAUGUUUGUGCAGGGAUUGGCCAUCAGUACUUUCCAGGUUGUUUUAUUGCCGACUGUUCUUGGAGGUGCUUAAAAAACUUAAUGGGAGAUUAAUUUUAUUGGCUUUAGUAUCUUAGAAAUAUUUUCUCUUACAGCUUGUGUGACUAUAUUUUUGUCACUAUGCAGUAUUGGCCCACGAAUAUUUCCCCAAGUUUACUGAGCGCAUUAUCACCGUAGCACCCCUGUUCGGAGUCCUCCUCACCACUUUGCUUUGUGCGAGCCCUGUAAGUAUAACAAAGAACUUACUAGAGUAAGGUUCAAGCAUUUGCAGAACUGUUUGGUAAUAAUUCAAAAUCAUUUUUAUAUGUUUCAUGAAAUAACAAAUUCAAAUAUUGUUGGGAUACCCCAUUUUAACCUCACCAAGCAUGUGAUGUUUCUACUCACAGUCAAGUGUGCCUAAAUUUAUCUCUUAGCUAGUAAUUUGUAAUAGUUAUAUUCUAUUCUCUUAUCUUUUUGUAAAAGUUGCUCCUCACAAUUAUAUUUUGGAUAGUAUGAAUGAAAUGCUAAUUGUUUAUACUAAUUUUGAUUGGAAAAUCAACUUUUGCAAGAUUGGGCAAGUCGCAGAAGUGUUGAAAACUCAAGGUGCCCAACUUAUUAUCCCUGUCGCUCUGCUACAUGUUGCUGCAUUUGCUCUUGGGUACUGGUUAUCGAGAUUCUCUAGCUUUGGGGAAUCAACUUCUAGGACCAUCUCAAUUGAAUGUGGCAUGCAGGUAAAGAAAUGUUGAGAUGCUCAGGUUCAAUCUGUUCUUAUCUAGCCAUAGAAAUUUGUAGCACCGUUAUUGUUUUAAUUAUUCUUACUUUUGUUUGGGAUAUUAUUAGAAAAUGGUGGGCAAGUAAAUAAUAUAUUUGGUGAAUUAUUUGUGAGUUUCUGUGCUGGUGCAGUUUGUCAUGUAGUUCUUGCUUAGACAUCAAUAUUCUGUAAAAUUAUUUUGCUGCCUGGUCUCACAAACAUGUUAUCUAUGUCUAAUGGUUGGUGAUGUUAGACAGCCUCUUGAUGAAUCUGUUUAGUUUUUCACUACUAGUAACAUUAGAUGGUUUUUUGCUAUUGAUACUCUUCUCAGUGGAAUGAGUUUUGUUGGACUCUGAACCUUCCUGGUUUUACUAGUAGUUUAGUUCGCGAAGCAUCAAAACAUUCCUUAGCUAGAUGUCUGUACAGUUAUGAAGUUUCUUCUCUUGCCUAGAGCAAUGUGGAUUUUCAAUUUAGUGUUUAACAAUGCCACUUUUUUUUGUCAGAGUUCUGCGCUUGGAUUUUUACUUGCUCAAAAGCACUUCACAAAUCCGCUCGUUGCUGUUCCUUCUGCUGUCAGCGUUGUGGCCAUGGCCGUAAGUUUCCUAGUUUCCUUCUCUUAGCCCGAUGUAUAUGUGCCACAAUUCUUUUGCACUCACUGUUAACAUUUUGCGUGGUGGCACAAGUAAAUGUGUGUUCUCAAAGGUCUUCACCUUUUUGUUCGUGACAGCUUGGAGGGAGUGCUCUUGCAGUUUUCUGGAGAAGCAUAGGGCUUCCAGCGAAUGACAAGGACGACUUCAAGGAGUGAACAAACUCAACAAGAGAACCUAUCGCUGUCACCUGGUAUUGGUUUUUAGAUGAGCGUGGUUACAUCAGAGCAGAUUCAUGUUCCCAAAUUUCAGGAAUGGAUAUCAAGGCCUAUAUUCUAUCCUGUGGGUUAUCCUUAGGGGUUACACUCUUGUUAUGUUUGUUGUGUAAUAUUUCACCUCUGCUUUCCCGCAGAGCAGUCAAAAAAGUCUUGUGGACCCUUGGGUGGUCCAAGUAACUGGUCAGUUUGUUCCAAUAGUUGAUAUGACAAUUAAGAAUUAUGAUUAUCCUGUGCUAUUGUUGAAUGCAUCGAUUGAAUUUUGAGCUACCUUUUGUCGAAGUGUUGCAGGUUUGUAAUAAUUCAAUUAUUGUGCCAAGUACAUGUUUUAAUGCUGUUUUUUGUUCGAACUGGGCCAGCCAGGAAAUUAAUUGCCUCAGAAUGAGAUUAUUCUUUUUUAAAAUGGACGAAUAUUCUUUUUUAUUAAUGCAAGAAACGAACAGAAUCAUUUGUUCAUUGUAGAAUGUAAGUAACACGAUGAAUCCAGCUGGGGAGUUCUUUUUCUGUUGAUUUAAGUAUGUUUUUUUACGCCUGCACCUGGGGGGCUGUGGCACGCUCGGGUAUUGUAUAACUCCUGCAGUCCUGCUAUGUACUCCUAGGUGACAACAUUGUACUAUGAAUAGUUAAUGGAGAAGUUACAAUAAUGUAGUAGUAACGUCAAAACCGUGGGCAGGGAAAAACUCGAACAAAACUGGUACGUCUGCGUCGCAGGCUCGCAGCAUCAGCGCAGCGCAGCUCCUGUGUGGCUGCGUGCACCUGCCAUUCUGCCUUCCCCUCAGACGGACCCCAUGGCACACUGCUCCAGCACACGCAUGCAUUGAAUGGGGCGCAUGCGCCGUGACGCGCAUACCACCAGCCCCUGAGGUCAUCGGCAACUGUACAAACGUGCAUGCCUGAGGUCACCGGCGGGCGGGUACUGUGCGAGAUACAGUAUAUUGCAGCGCUGACAGGAUCGCGUACGCAGUGGCGGUACCACUGGAUCGUGCUCGUACGCAUAUAAAAACGAUCGGCCAUCCAUCGGCGUCAAUCACCUCGAUCGCAGGAUGCGCAGGUGUGCAUCAGGGUGGGGGAGGGGAAUGACCAUCGGUAGUAUAGCAGCUCGAGAUGCACACGCGACAUUAUGGCGCUCGAUGGAUCGAUCGAUCGCGUGCCGUGCAUCCAGCCUCCAGGCAUGGCGACGGCAUCUUGCCGUCACUCCGGUGAUCCUGAUGGGAGAGGAGAGGAUCCAUCGGCGGAUCGAGCUUAUCAUGGUGCCAUCAUAAGCUCGGACGCAGUCGCCAUGCCCUCGGCCCUCGCUCGCUCAGUCGCUCUCGCCGUACCGGUAGCUGCACGCCAACUGCGGCCUGGAUUCUUGUAAUGAGACGUCAAAUCGACACGUACUGUGAAGCCUACCGAGGACCAGCUGGCCUUGUGGCAGAAACGGCGAGAAGGUCGCCGUACGCCCGUUUGGAAGAAAUUCUUCUUAUUUCGAAAUUUGGUCCACUCAGUUUUUUUUUUGCAAAAGAAUAAAAUCUGGUCCAGUCGGCGAAGCUGAUCCUUUGCGGUUUCUCUCUGAAAGCAUGUCACUAUCAGCAUCCCUCGAUUGUUGUUGCACGCCUGAAUCCUGCUGACCCCGUGGGCUCCAAACACAAAAGCUCGGUUUUACCAAUGGCUAGCAGCGAGUAGUAGUACUCCGUAGGUUGGAAUCCCGUCAUGGAGCGGUCCCCGAGAACGAGAUUUGGGGCCAGCGGUGCGCUGCACGCGCCGUGUUGCUCCUCCCGUUUUGCCCGUAUGCGCGCGCGCCGCGCGGAGCGCGAGGCAGGAGCCAUCAGCUAUCGUCUCGUCGUCUGGUCUCGUCGCGUGCACUUGAAUGGCGGAGUGGUCGCCGGACGCCGGGUGGGGCGAACGUCUGCGGCUGCCUGGCCUGGCCUGGGCGGCUGGGCGCCCGAUCCCAUCAAAGCCUUCCCGUCACGCGUUCCUCGGCGGGAAAAGCUCGUGGGCGUGGCGUGGGGGCGGUGCGCUGCGGUCCGGCCGGUCCGCGGAGGAGACCCGGGCCGGGAGGGAAUGGAAUAUCCCGCGGCGUGGAUCCUGCUCUGCAUCCGCGCGCGCACGUCGUCACGUCCGCUGGAUCGCGCCGGAUGCCCCGCCCCCGGCCUCUGCCGCGCGCAUGACCUCACCCACCACCCACGCCGCUAUACGAGGGCCAGCCGGGCAGAGGAGAGGCCCCCGCCGCCUGCAGCUUGCUGGCCGGCGGAGCUGACCUGAGGCUGACGCCACUGGCCUUUUCGAUCCGGCCAUCGCGCUGGCGAGCUCGCGUGCGGCCCGUACGCCUGGCUGCCUGGCUCUGGCUCCGCUCCCCACUGGGCAGUGGGCACUGGCCGACUGGCCGUCCGUCCCGUCCCGGCGGGGCGGUGUGAAUGAUUGAGAUGAUGAUGACGAGGUAUUUUAUCUUUUCGUCUUGUUUAUUAAUCGUCCUCUCCUUGUCAGGGGGGAGACGCAGAAAAGCAGAAUGAAUGCCCCGGAGUACUUACUUGGCAAGUCCUGCGUGCACACUUUCUUGAGUCAUCAAAUCAACCCGACUGUUCUCCUCUUCAUUUUCUUUCUGGGCAAGCAAUGACCGGAAGGUUUUCGAGAGCACGGUACCUUCUACACGUUGUAUAUACAGCCAAUACUUGCAAUACGUACAGGUAAUCGCUUCCGUUCCACAUGUGCUCGGAACACAUUCAAGGUCAAAGAUUUCACAAAGUAACCACCUUCAAACAAGUAGAGGGUUUAAAGUUUAUAAGAUGCUUAUUAUGUCACUACCGUUCCAAAUAGUAACGGGUAAGUCUUGUGUGUAUGUAUCUAUGUACGUAAGGUGACCAAAUUGAAGUUACAAAACCGAUGACCAAUACAUAGGAUCCACAGCCUGCCGGUCGCAUGAGAGUUCAACUCCAUCAGUCAAGCAUAGCUAGAAUUUUAGUGCGAUGCAAAAAAAAAGGCAUCCUCAAAGCCCCCGUUAAAAAGAACCGUAGGGGACGGAGGUUCUCACCGGACCACCGCCCCAUGUCUCUUCUUGUUGUCACGGAUCCUUUUGCCGCUCGAUCGCCAAGGCGAAGCAAGAAGCAACCACCUACACAGGACGGCGCCGGCCGGCGUUACUUUGCUCUGUCCGUGGCCGGCUUUUAUCCCCAUAUUCUGCCGUUACAUAGUUUUAUAGUCCGAUCCUACACAUGACGACGUGAUACAUCGUCGUCCUCGUCCAUCGCUUGCCGACGCCCGAAUUGCAUUUUUGGGAAUUCCCCUGCCACUAACCGCCUGGACCACCGGAGGACGGCAUGCCUAAGUGCAUGCAUGCCGGCCGGGCUAGUGUAGUGAGCACAAAAGCGAUUCCACAUCGCGAGUUUGCCGAGGUCAAGGCACCAGUUUAAUUCAGGUGCCGUUCGCGAAAAGAAGGCCAAGACUCGUCGAAUGUUUGCACUAUUGUGUGUACAUCGAUCACAACUGUGCAUGCCACAGCCUGGUUUGAUUGCCGGACGACGGUUGCAUGGCUUGCUCGCUACCACACCAGCACCAGUCGAACGCCAGAAAGAAUCGAAUCUUUGUGUGCAGUGGCUUGAGCCCUCUAACCACAGCCACCACACCACAUGAUCUAUCCCAGAUUCUAGCUAGCUUCACUGAUGGUUCUUCGACUUGUUCACCUCGAUCUCAUGUACUACUAGCACGUACGUAGUUUCUAGUUUGGCAUUGCUGAUGCUUCAGCGUGACGAACAGUACGCUACGGCCCAAGUGAUUCAUAUUUAGGGUGAUCCACGCAUACGCACGCACCUUUCGAUCCCAACUACUGCAUGCAUGGUCCAGACUAGUAACGUCUAGGCGAGCCUCAAAAGUUGUGUGUGUGGAUAUAUAUGCAUGCUUCCUUCGUCCCCGUCUUCCUUCGCUUUAUAUGCAUGGUGAUGAGAGGCCAUUGGAUUGGAUAACGCUGAGGUGGUGCCGUUGGCUGGGUCUUUCUUCCAUUUGCGGCAAUUGGCGCCAUUCGAGGAUCGAUCGGGCUACCAGCCUAGCUACCACCUCGAGAACCUGGACCGGCGUUACUGCUGCUGCUCUGCUAGCUACGUGUCAGCCUAUGAAUUCAAGAGCCUUCACCUACGGACCUACUCUACGGUCCUUUUAACUCAUCGGGCACUGCGUCGCUCAAACAGUCAAACUUGAGCACUUAACCGCAACUGGAGUACCUCAAAGGAGAAAGUUUAGGUUCAGAAAAAUGCAUGCAGGCCAUCUCGAUUUUAAUGUUCGCCCACUGCCUCAAGACGUUGACUCCUCUUUUUGGGAUAAAAUCUGUCCUUUGCCUUCUGAUAACCUUCAUGUGGGAGUACAGUAUGUGUGCUAAAUUUUCACUACAACAACAAAAAAAAAGGUGAUAGGCACUUUGCUUUAGGCAUUUUCUAAUUUGCCGCAAUAAAACUUUCUGAAAAAAUGUGUUUAAAUAAAUAGAUAUUAUGUGGAGUAUCAUAGAUAUUAUUUGUGGCACUUCAGAAGGUGGUCUCGAGUGUAGAGACACUACUUGAGAUAACCUGAAACAAAAUUGCUUGUGGAUGGCUGGAAGCACAUCUUUUACACACUUUACUUAAUUAUAAAUUUCAAAUACAAAAUAAUAUAGAGAAUUAGAGAUAUUAUUUUGGCAUUCCCAAAUUGACUCUAUCUGGUAUAUAUUGUUUGAGGCAUGUUUUAGAGUAUUUCCGCCCAUAUAGAAAUGCCACUGAUUCAGUAAUCCAAUAUAGAUGAUUCACAAAGUGUUUCUACUCUCGGAGAGUCUAAGACAAUGCAUCGGAAGGCGUUUUAUGGCAUUUUAGAAAAAAAUGACUAUGAUUACGUAGAAAUAUGGAGAGAAAAAAUAAAGUGCCUCUACAAGCCGGUUCUCUUGCAUGGAAACAUGGGGAAGAAAUCAUGCCAUACGCCCAUAUUGGUGGACGUUGGAGCGAACAAGGGAAUAGUAGUGACAGGUGGUGAGGUUGGACUUGAAAGAAGAUUGGGAGGUGUGAUUCUUCUACAGGAAUGGGAAUGAGAUAUUGCUUGACGAUUACUAGAUACUAAAUGGAGUUGAAAUUGGGGAGUACGUUAAAAAAGCCGCUGGUAGAUAAAAUCUCUACUUGUCAACUGUAGGCUCACUGGAGCUUCAAAUUUGUCUCAAAUUCGUACUGCUCUAGUACUUUACGACACCUCAAGACAAACCUAAUACGAACGAGCAAUCAUGAGCGCAUUAAGACCGGUUGCAAGAUGGCGGGCCCGGUGUUAUGGUCUUACACGAGGUGGACCAGCAGUCUAUCUAUACGUACACGUACUAAUGUACCCGUAGGCAUGCUCGUACACGUACGUACUCCUAUGGCGAGGGCCAAAGCGAGAAAGAGAGCGGUGUAUGGAGCAAAAUAGCCGAUGGAGCCGAGGGCGAGCGUGACCGAUCCCGGAGGCGAGGACCACGACCAGUAGUCCACUUGCUGGCGUGAUUAGGACGAGGGCCGGGGUCCACGGUGCAGCGGGCCGGGCAGCAGAGAAUCAUCAUCAUCAAUGAUUGAGCGAACGAACGGCGCGGGGCCACCGCCCACGAACGCACUGGCACCACCACUGCCAUAACGCGCCGGCCGCAUGCGGCAUGCCCGAGUCCCGGGGAACUUGUUGCCAAGGCGUGGCGCACGGCGGAGCUAGGGGAGCCACCCCCCUAGCUACCUUCCAGCGUGCGUGCUAGCCGUAGCCCUAGCCCUAGCCGUGGGGGCCAACCAGCCAAGGGCCAUGGCCGAUCGAUCGCGCGCUAGCUUCGGCGGUGCAUGCUCUUCUCUGAUCCUACUGCCCAUGCAUGCGCAUUUUCCUGCAUGCUCGCGGCCGCUCUAGCUAGGCCGGCCGGAGAACGGGAGAAGCUCAGAAGUCUUGCUUUCGGCCAUGUUCCACUUUUUUUUUCUAUCUCAGUGAAAAUUUACUGCUGAUCACUGAUGUUGGCACGCGCAGUGCGUGCCUGACCCCUGAUCAGAUUUUUCAGACCUUGAUCGGAUGGCCUGUGCGCCUGCGACGAGCUGGAAGGCAUGGCGCAUGCGGUACUACUCCACUGUGCAAGCCAUGCAUGCAGCGAAUCCUCGUCCGGAUCAGGGUGGCAACAUUGUCACCAGGCUUGGCAAUAAAUGUUCCCAUCAAAGCCCUGACUGUAGCUUGUAGAUGGUCGGCCGGCCGGCCACCCGGACGCAUGCAAAUUGAUGCCUGGCUCGACGUCCUCAAGCUCAGCACAUCAUUUUGAACUCAAUCAGACUCCGAGUUGACUUGUACCCGUCAAUCAACGUAUUCGCAGAUUGCGCUCACUGCUCGACCAACCGAGCUAGGGUCGGCAUUGAUGCCUGGCUCAGUGCUGCUAGCUGCGUGCUGUACGCCUAGAACCUCGCAACCGGUACAUAGGAGUAAGGUGCUCCUUUAGUCCAUGGACUAAAGUUUUAGUCCAUGGACUAAAGUUUUAGUCCACUUUAGUUCAUGAAUUAAAAAUGGAUUAAAAUGGUGUUUGGUUCAAGUGACUAAAAGUGACUAAAACCAUUAAAUGCUGUGACAAGAUUACCAUUUAGCCUUUGGAAGCUCUCCCCACCAGUUGCCCCUGGCGCAACAGCCUGGCGCCAAAUUCUGGUGGCGCCAACACCCUGCAGGCGCGCGCCAAAGCUCCAGGCGCCAUAUCACCUUCUAUUUCAUGCUGAGUAGGAACGCCAAAAUCUUUCUUGUGCCACAUGUUCAUUCCAUUUGGUAAAAAAAAGUCCAUACAAAUGUUCAUACACAUUCAUACACUCAUACAACCUGGGAGGGUGUUUUAGAGGCCUUGUCAUCUUCUUCGUCACCGGCAUCAACAUCCAGUGGAUUGUCAUAGCCGUGGCCUCCAGAGGAAGAUGCACCGCGUCCUCUUCCCAAUCUUCCUCCCCCAUAGCUCCCACCUCUGCCUCCACACCUACCGUUGGCUCCUCCACAUCCUCCACCCACUCUCCCUCCACCGGUUGCGGCGGUCAUGGACCGGCGACCACGCCCUCCGCCACCCUGUGCUCCCACCCUGCCUCCAGGGGCUAAGGAGGGAGUUGAUGCUCCAAACCAGCUGCACCCCCUGUAGGAACUCCUGGUAUGACCUAAUAUUGGGGAACACGUCGGCCUCUGAGUUGAGGUCCAGAUGCUCCAUGUGGCGGUGGGGAGCGGACAGGGAGGAGGCCGACGGCGACACGAACGAGCCGAAAUUGUCUUCGUCCGCAUCUUCCGAGGAAGUGUGGAAGCUACGUGUACUGGAUGAAGAACCCUAAUACAGGAACUCCCGGUAGUUGUAGUUAUCCAUGGGUGGGGUGCGGUGGUUGGGCGCGGUCGUGCUGGCGGCAUGGGAAGGAGAGGGAGGGGGCGGAUCCGGCGGGGGAGCUUCGGGGGUGGUGGAUCCGGUGUGUGGAGCUUCGGGUGCGGUGGAUCUAGUGGGGGAAAUGGUGCGGGCGGCCAGAAUCGAGAGGAAAUUUGGGGCAACUGGCGGGCGGUGUCAAGGAGGGGGGAGCGAGCGGAUGCCGGCGUGGGAGGGCGCGACCGCCGGUGAGAGGGCGCGGCCGCCGACAUGGAGGAGGGAGCGAGCGAUGGCUGGGUUGGGGGAGGGAAGCGAGCGGUGGUUGGGCCUACGGGGUCUGGAGGCGGGGGUGGGAGGACUCGGGGGCGGUGGAUUCGGCGGGGGAGGGCGCGGCCGCCGGCGUGGAGGAGGGAGCGAGCGGCGGCUGGGUUGGGGGAGGGAAGCGAGCGGCAGUUGGGCGUGCGGGGUCUGGUGGCGGGGGUGGGAGGACCCGGGAGGGGGGAGGGUGCGGGGGUAUGGUGUGCAGAGAAGAUUUUAGUCGGUUUUAGGAGGGGUGGGAGGGCUAAAGGAUUUUAGUCUUCUCACCUUUUAAUCUUUUAGCCAGCUUUUAGUCACCUUUUAAUCCAAAAAAUUUUAGGAGGUGGGAAUCAAAUGACCUAAGCUCAAGGAGGCGCGCACCGUAGUCUACAACCAUUCGCUCGCUCCUCUCUGCAUGCACCGCCGGCCGGCUGCACGCUCCAUUUACUCCCAUCUCAACCACCGAUUUCUCCUCUAGGACGCCGCGCGAUUGACUUGGAUGGAGCCUUUGAGUUUUUGCAGGGUGGUUUUCGCAUAUAAUGCUUCGCCAAUUACAAACGAGUCCUUAGGAAUGUUAUCGUUCAUUUUUUAAAACUUCUAUCAGCCCUCCACUCUGGCAACACCAACAAAUAUUUAGCAGUUCCAUUGUUCAUAAAAAGGGUUUCAAGAAUCUUUUAAAAAAAAGGGUUUCAAGAAAGUGAAACGUUGCAAGGUGAAGUGGAAAGAGCUGCUAGAGACAUACGAGGAGGAUGGUGUGUGGGGAUCGAUGAUAGCAACAGCUGGGGAGGCCGGCGCCAAGCAGUAGGAUGAGACUUGCUGGGGUGGUGGCAGCAGCUUGGUGGGAGUGGGCUAGGAUUAUGCAUUAAUUCGAUAGGGAUGGAGACGAUGGUGCAAAUCUAGAUCGUGUCGAAUUAAACUUUUGAUAGCAAAUAAAGUGACUAGAUUGGUUUAUAUGUAGAAUGUAUGCGAGAAUGGAUACUCUACCUGUAUAUAUACAUUUCUUCAGAACGUGAAAAGGUUGGCACGACUUGGUCUCUUUAGAACACAAUUUGAUCUCUAAUGUUUAACAUAAUACAUUGAGAAACCACAACACAAUUGUAUGAUUGUGCAAAACUAUAUUUGAUAUAAAUCUACACUUACCUUUUGUAAAUAUUCAAUGUCAGUAUAUAUACAAACUAACUGAUGAUUGGAGUUUUGAUACCUUCACAUAUCCCAGUUCCCUAAAGUCACUCUUAGCCCCCAAUAACUCCAUAUUGUUGCUUCCUAUCAUCUACUCCGUUCAUCCAAAAAGAGUAUUGUUCUAGCUUUGCCCUUAGUCAAACUAUCUUUAGUUUGACCAAGUUUAUAGUUAUGAUAUCAAAUAGGUAUACCAUGACAAUAUAUUUCAUGAUGUAUUUAAUGAUACUUUUUUGAUAUCAUAAAUAUUUUCAUUUUUAGUAUAAAGUUGGGUCCAACUUAAGAUGGUUUGACCUGGGACAAAACUAGAGUAACACUUUUUGGAGCGAAGUGAGUAUACUACUCUUAGCUUCAAAUACUUUUUUUCCCCAAUAAUAAUAUUAUUCUGUCUUUGUGUUUAGGGAGUCUCUAAUGGUUAUAUGUAGUUUUAUCUAUAAGAGUGUACAUGUAAUCUAUAUACUACACUGAAGUUAACUUCUCUAAUGGCUUACCUACAAGGUUGUCUCUUAAUUUUAUUAAUGCUUGCAUACGAUUGGUUAAUGUGGUGAUAAUUGCUUUGUUUUUUUUUGAUAAAAAUGCUUUGUUUUCUCCCAAGCAAGAACUAUUUUUGUUCUCUCCAUCCACUAAUUCUCGUCCACUAGGAUAAUUGCUAAGGUGUAGUACCACCUUAAACAACAGGAGCAACACCCAUCUUUGGACCAUUAAUCCACUAACCAACACACUUGAAAUACAGGCGGCUAGAGGGUAUAGGAUGCUCCCACUCUCCCCCCACCGCAACCACUCCUACAUUUGAAUCACGCAAGCCAAAACCGAUUGUGAAAAGUACAAAGAGUGACCUUGACACAUGCGCGCGCGAGAGUGACAAGUGCUAUUCCAAAUUUGCAACCGCAGACGACGGAGGACCUAGCUAGUAACACCCACCCACCUAUACACAAUGACUAGCUAGCGUGGAGGACCAUGCCUCACCACGAGGUGCGAGCAUUGGAGCAUACACUCACAUUUCGUUUUCCAAGCGGAAAAACCCCAUGAACUCGCGUCACACGGCUCCAUUCCACUACGAAAUAGAAGUAUUAAUUGAAAAACAAACUCCUACUCUGCCUACUAGUACCACUACUACGAGACGAGCUCGCCGGCUGCAAGAGCCCUACAAGUCUGCAGCCGAUGAAGAGUAGUACGUGCUCUCUGCCCAGAACCCCUAUAAAACCCCUCCCACAGUAAACUCCACACGGUAAAAAGAAGGACGCAGCCACACACGCACCCAUCCGGUUCCUGGCCAGCAGGCUCGAAGGCGAUGGACGGCGAGGCGCAAGGACGACGCCGCCCGGCGUGGGUCCCCGGCGCCAUCAUCGUCGGCGCGGGCCCGUCGGGGCUGGCCGCGGCCGCGUGCCUCGCGGCGCGCGGCGUCCCAGCCACGGUGCUCGAGAUGUCCGACUCGCUGGCGUCCACGUGGCGCCACCGCACCUACGACCGCCUCACGCUCCACCUCCCCAAGCGCUUCUGCGAGCUGCCCCUGCUCCCGUUCCCGGAGGGCUACCCGGCGUACCCGUCCAAGGACCAGUUCGUGGCCUACAUGGAGAGCUACGCCGCCGCCGCCGGCGUCGCGCCGCGGUUCGGCGCGCGCGUCGAGGAGGCCGCCUUCGACGCGGCCGCCGGCGCGUGGGCGGUGCGCCUGGCCGGCGGGGAGCUGCUCCUGGCGCGGUGGCUCGUGGUGGCUACGGGGGAGAACGCGGUGCCGCGCGAGCCGGAAUUCCCCGGCGCACCGCGGUUCGCCGGGCGCGUCAUGCACACGCGCGACUACAAGUCGGGCGAGGUGUUCUCGGGGAAGAAGGUGCUGGUGGUGGGGUGCGGCAACUCCGGCAUGGAGGUCAGCCUGGAUUUGUGCCGGCACGGCGCCAAGCCCUCCAUGGUGGUGCGCAACACGGUAACUAAUGAUCCCCGUGCUUGCUUACUUACUCCUAGUCCUAGCUAGGACCCGUCGUUUUCUACUCCCGUUGUCUUGCUUUGGACAGCGAAAGUACAAGUGCUGCGAGUUUUGUGCCAUCCUGCUUGAGCACUUUCCCCUUGGAUGAUUGUCUUUGCGCGCGUCGCGCUUUGUUUUUGCUGCGAUCUUUUUUGGGGCAUGCCUUAAUGUGCGUGGUCAUAUUUGGGCACGCUAAGCAUUAUUAGACCUACUAACAUGUGGUACGGUGUUGGGGAUGUCUCUGUCUUGUCCCGUGCCAUGCUCAGCACCCAUAACAUUCUUCUUCGUCUUUGUUCUCUCUUCUUUCGUUCGCAUCAGAAAUUAAAGCUACAAGUAUGUGAUGCGUUUUGCGCAGGUCCAUGUGCUACCCCGGGAGAUGCUUGGCCUCUCCACGUUCGGCAUCGCCAUGGCGCUGCUCAAGCUGUUCUCCGUCCAGGUAGUCGACCGGAUCCUCCUCGCGGCGGCGCGGCUGACGCUGGGCGACACGGGCAAGCUCGGGCUGAGGCGGCCCAAGACGGGGCCCAUGGAGCUGAAGAACCUCACCGGCAGGACCCCGGUGCUGGACGUCGGGACGCUAGGCCACAUCAAAACCGGCAAAAUUAAGGUUAGUGGCAGCCUACUUGCAUUUACACCAUGCUUUCACCAAAGGAGAGCAGCAGCAGUAGAAGAAGAAAAUCACCACACGCACGACCAGUCAAACCAUGGGAAUUUGAACCCCGGGCCGGGCGCGGUCGUGGGCCUGUGCCUCAUCUGGCAUGCCAGCCCGGCUUUAAGGCUCGCCUUGCUCACACACACACACACACACACACACACACACACACACACACACACCAAUUCUGCGAUUGGUUUCCCCCUGAGAAGCGGGCUCUGUUUUUAACCUCUCGUCCUGCAUCAAACCUACCGCUGAAUGAGUUGCUGAUGCGAAACAUGAUCGCCAGGUAGUGGGAGCAGUGAAGGAGGUGACCCGGAGCGGGGUCAGGUUCGCGGACGGCAAGGAGGAGCAGUUCGACGCAAUAAUACUGGCCACAGGGUACAGGAGCAACGUGCCGUCCUGGCUCAAGGUAAAUUCACCUCCCCCAUUCCUCCUUCCUAGUACUGCAACGAGGGGCAAGGCAAAGAUGAAAAGUGACGCCGGCGAAAAGGACUCGCUUGUUUGUUGGUUCGGGGCCCUGCCCUUUGCCGAGCAGAGCAGCAGCUGCUGCAGCGCGCAUCAUGUCGUCACCCCUGUUCGGCCAUCCUGCCCCCGUUGCCCUUCUCGUGUAUGCCGGGCGCGCAGGCGCAGCUCGUGCCCCGCGCUGCGCCGCGCGUUCCUUUCUCCCGAAGUGUUCACCCGCGCCCAAGUGAUCGAGUCAGUGAGUCACCCCGGGGGUAUGGGCGCGGGCACAGGAGCAGGGGCCCCAACGCUGGCUUGGCGCUGAUCCAAGGACUAGGGUGAGGACGACGGGUUCGUAUACGGACUCGGGAGUUUGGAUAUACGCUUUGGGUCCAGUGGAUAGAUACUUGUCGAUACCUCAAGGUGAACGGUCGAUUUGUAUGCAACGUGUGCAACGAGAAUCAGCCAAGUUAAUAACUUGCUGCAUUUACAAUAUUUCUUCUUCAUGUAGGAGUAUACUGUUUGCGACCUUGCUCAUGAACCUCGUUAUCUUCUACUAUGCAGGAUGGAGGUGACGUGUUCACGAGAGAAGGCAUGCCCAAGACCCCCUUCCCCAACGGCUGGAGAGGGAAGAACGGGCUCUACACCGUCGGAUUCUCUCAGCGGGGGCUGCUCGGCGCGUCGUCCGACGCCCUCAACAUCGCCAGAGAUAUACAUUGCCAGUGGAAGGACAUGGGCAGACCCGCUAACAAUAAUGUGCUCCAAAGUGACGAUACUGUUUGACUCUCGUGUAAAUGUACAGUACGCAAGUGGUUAUAUUAAUGUCUUCAAAAGGUACCAUUUUGUGUGCUUACGACAGCAUGAUUUUCGCUUACCGAAUUGGCCAACUUAAAAGCCUUUUAGGGCACGAUUGGUUCACUGCCGAUACUAACCAAACCAAAUUUUUGGCGUGCGCAUAAGUAACUUGCUCCCUCCAUCCAUCCAUUCCAAAAUAAGUAUCCUUUUAGUAUUCAAUUUUUGUCACAAAGAAUGUACCUUUAGCUUCUAGUAAGACUAAUCUAAUUAAAAGAACACUCACACAAAUAAAAUGGAACAUAUAGAGAAGCGUGUAGCACCAAUCAAAUGGCUAAUUGAUGUUAUUUGUUAUGACUACUAUUGUGUCUAAAUUUUCUAAAAGGACACUCUUUGUGGGAUGGAGGGAUUAGAGUCUAAUAAUUGCAUAUUAAUAUCCGUUCCAAUUAAACCAACAAAACAAGAUAUCACUCAACUAUAUUUCGAUACAAAACAAAAUAAUGACAUAUGGACCCUACAUUGCAUACUAAGAGACGAGUAAAUUUUGCAAUUUUUGGCAAGCUAUAAUUUAAACACAACUUUGCUAACGUUUUGGUGUAGCCCAUAGUUUGGUCGCGACCAAAAUUUGGCUGGACUAGAUGGGCUUAAACCAAACAUGCCCUUUGAUAGAAUCAAUCGGCGAUGGUCAAUAUGACAUGGUAAAACUCAUAGACUCAUGUUUGUGAUGUGGAUUUAUUUUAUGGUAUGGAUCAAUUGAUGAUCAUCCUUCUUAUUUUACGUGUUAACUUUGUUACAUAUUAGUAGUACCCAUUAUUAAUCAUAGUCGUUGAAGUGGACCGUUAGGUCAUGUGGUUUUUUCACUACCAGAUAGUCUCAUACAUAUCGUCUUCUUGCAAGUGCUGGCAAUCUAACGACACAAAUAGCUAGUAAGCGAUGGUAAUAUGUUGACGCUCAAGAAUAGAGAUAAUUUAUUGUCUUUCAUUUUAGUUACAUACCACUUGGGCCCAUCUAGAACCGUAAGUCCAGGAAAGAUGAAGCCCAAAAGACCCUAUUUGAACCCAUGUUGGCUGGCAUGGCGCAAAUCUCGACCUUGUGUACGAAGGCAACGAACCUUAAUCUAGGAGGCUUCUAAAAGAACUUAACACUUACAUAUCCAAAACUUAGUAUGAAAGAUACAUGGGAACAUGAAAAUGGAAGGUGUAAUGGCCGACACACCAUGCAUUGUGCUAACCAACACAUAAUAUUUUGACGUUGAUUUGACGUACCAUUUGAACCAGAGGUUUACAUAAGAUCUCAGGACUAACAUGCCUGAAGAUGAGUGAAAUUGGAACAUGGGAAGGUGAAAAAGGGAAGUGAACCAAUCGGUUCAUCCACUGAACUAACAGACACAAUUUGAUUUGGUGUUGGUUUGCUCAGGGUAUAAAUAGAGGGGGUUCCUCGAUUCAAAUCAGGGAUCCAUCCACUAGAAUUUUAUAAUAAAACCAAAUGACACGCACCAUACGAAGUUGAUGGCACCUGCAAGUCUUUGAUUUGUCUAGGAUAUGACUUAGGCUAGAUUCUAGCCAGUGUGAUCACCCUGAGUGAAAUGAUCAUACUGGAGUUUAGGAGCUACAUGUUUCAUCAUUGUAGAUAUGAUAUAUAUAGGUGGUGAUGAUAUAAUGUAUACAAUGUUGAAUAGAGUUCAUCAUGUCUUCCGAUCUAUUACCGACUGAGUGUUUACUUUUAUGCUUUCUACUAUCAUGGAUAUGAUUAUUCCUAGCGCAAUUCUAGAUUAGACUUUUAGCAUGCUUUAUGUAAUCACACUGAUUAGAUUUAGUGUAUCUGUCCUCCAUGAUAGCUAGACAUGUGCUUAAAAUACCCCCCUUAGAGAGCUCUUUGUGGUCAUGUCUAGAAACCUCUUGCACAUAAUGGCAGAGUGUGGCAUGAUCUGGGCUUAAUAGGGCAGUAGUACUUUGGGUUAGACCGAAGGUAAUAGUUUAAUAACUGUUUUUGGAUGAGAUGUUUAAUUUACUUGCUCUUUGGCUAAAGCUAACUACAAGACGUUUGGCUUAAGUUAACUUUGGUUCUGUUACAUAUCUACCUAUCUAUGGAUGUAAUCCACUCAUGCAUAUAUAGCUACCCUAUAUUGGGGUUAAUUUUUAUAUAUAUACAAUCUGAAUUUCAUGAUAAUAUUAGAUCUUUUAAGUUAUCAUAAAGCCUUAGAUUAGUUUGCCGCCGAUAUUUGUGGAUUCGGUUAAAGCCUAGAAUACUCUUGGGGGAAGCUACAAUUGUCACCAUGUACUUGACUUUUGCUUAUGGCGAUUACUUACAUGUUUUCUGCAAUUGCAAUUGCCAAUGAUAAGGGUGAAGAAGAAUCGAGAGGGUGUCAAACGGGGACAAAUAGACAAUCUUCACUUUGUCUUAGUUUCAUGCAACAAGUCAAUGUUAUUUUAAUAACUUGUACAAAUCAUCUCCAUAGAUGCAUGUAGAUGCAUCUAUAUAUCUUUUAUGACAAGAUUGCGUCCAACAUCACGUGUUCCAUUUUAUAGCGCGACCACCACCAAUGUCAAUAAGAGUAUAAGAGAUCUUUCUACUUCACAGCUUACCACUGGCAGUCAUUUGUUGCUGCCAUCUUAGGCCCAAGUCAUUAUUGUACACAUAGAGCAAUCAUUACCCAUGUAGACGUGCAGGCCCUGCCUUUCAUGUGGGGCAGGACCUACUGCCGGCACCACAAGAAGGUGAAGCGUUAGUGAUCACAUCAGAAGCUGCCCCAUCUGUAUGUAAGGGAGUACUUUGCAUCAUUGAAUAAAGCAAGAAAGAUGUUAUAUUUUGUUCCUAAUUUUUAUUAGCUUCCGUGAUUAUAUUCAUGUAAUAGUACUUGUUCUCUAAUAUCAAAUUUCGUAGGUUAGGAAUUUGGGGUUUUGGCUCAAAUUAUUGGCUGUUCUUUGGCUCAUAAGCUUGCUAGCUAUCAACUGGUGCAUAUGCAAGUACACAACAUGGAAAUGAUAUCUGUCCAAUUGAACCAAUGAAAUCAUAUAUCCUGGCAAGGAAGACAUGUCCUGCUAUUCAUGUGUCAGCUCAACGUUGGGUUCAUGCCAAAAGAAUUAACAAAGAACUGACUUUCCAUUCGGAUUUGAACCUGUCACAAUUUCUAAAUUCAAGGUAUGAGCUCUUUCUUUUUCAGAUCUAUAAUAAAAAAUGUCUCCCUCAUAAAUUAACUAAAGUGUUAUUCAUGGAGGAAACUGCCAAUGUUUAGGUUAUUGUGCAGAUUAUCCAUUCUUCAUGAAACUAAAUGGCAACAUUUUAAUAAUAAACAUAGAUACUACAAGAAUUUGAAAAUCAUUAUUAUAAUAGUAUUUCAACAAUUAGUAGAUAAUAAUUUAAUCUUACAAUUUUUUAUAGGUUCAUCCCUACACAUGAUUUUAUCAUCUGCAAUAUUAUAUUUACAAAUCAAAUGCAUACGCCAAUUUUAUUUCCUUCCAUUUCCUGCUCUAUGCAAGAUAAUAACAUUAGCAUUGUACUACACAGUAUAUAGACUUGUUUGAGGACUAAAAAAAGUUGCCUCUAGCUACCGCACUUUGUUUCUUCUUUCUUGUAUGUUGAUACAACCGAAACUACACUGUAUGUUGAGCCAUGAAGCUAUUACUUAGGUAGGGGUAGACAGUGUUGUCUUAGAAAGUUUCUAGCUCCUCUGUUAGUAAGAAAUGGUAGUCCCCCAAGGCCAUGAAUCAAUUAAUAUGAUAAACACGUGGUACAAAAUAUUGGAUUUUUACAUUUUCUGCUGUUUGGUUUUGUGUGUUUAUGUGUAUCUUUUUAUUUAUAUAUAUUCUACUUGAUCAUAUUGUUCAAAUUUUUUUUACAGAAGGGGCUGGAGCCCAUAUAUUUAGAUUGCCAUGAAGUUUAUAAAAAUCACCCUGGAGAAGAUCAAAGUUACAACACGCCUCAGCACACAAACUCCAUUGCACAAUCUUACACAAAGGACCCAGAAGAAAAAUAAAUUUGACGUAGCAAUCCUCGGAUCCUCUGCCGCUGCUCCUAGUUGGAGCGCCGUAAUCAUGAUCCGCCAGAGUCAGGGAAGGAGCACCGUAAUCGGGAGAAGAGGAGCUCCACCAAGCAGCCCAACGAGACCUCCAGCUUUUUAACGCUGCAAGACAUCUCUCCACUGGGGUAUAUUGGCAGUCACUGUUGGAUUCUUGGCUAAGUAGAAGACCGAUGACGCCGACGAGGUCGACGACCCGGAAAAGGAAUCGAGCGACAACAUAGGAGAACAAAAAAGGAACCCCGUUGACCUGGAUAGAAGGCAACCCUAGCUAGAGGACAGAGGAUCUCCAAUCCCAACCGCGCAUAGGGUAGAUAAAACAUACCAAAACAUAUCCGCACUAGAAAUUGUAAUUGUUAUUUUAUAGAUUGUUCGGAUUUUUAAUCUUGUCUCUCUACAUUCUAAUAUCAUUUCAUUUUUCUGUAGACUGACAUAUAUACUUGUGCACGAACUGUGAAGAGCUUAAGUAUUGCUCGUGAAACCCCAUCUUCUAGGGCUAUACUAUUUGAGCUCUCUUACCAACUACUUGCUGCCAUGUUACGAUGGUGUGUCACAGUUGCCUUUUUAACUUGCUUGUGUUGGCCUUUUCUUUUGAGGGCAACUUGCUUGCUGCGUUGAGUUAGUAUGUGUUGGACAAUUUAUGAAGAAACUGGGUUUGAACAUGGAGUCCAUGCGUUUCUUUACCAAAGGCUUUCAGUAAUCAAAUCAAUCAGUGCACAGAAAAGAGUUGACCUAUAUACUAUACUUAGAGCAGCAAACUAAAAAAAAUGCCAGCAGUCGCUGGGCACACCCCUUGGCACAGAACCUCUUUCACGCGGUGGUUGGCGUGCAACAUCAAAAAUUCGAAGUCGACAUACAGACAUCUAGAGGCAGGAGUGCGCCAGUGUAUCUCAUUCAUAUACAUACUGAAUGCUAAAAGUAGCGCUUGGCUGAAGCUAUCCCACAAAACGGGAUGCACGGCGAUGCGGUCGAACGCUCACCCAACAUGGUGUCGCACACUUGGAUACAUGUCCUGGAACCGUCCUUGGGAUCAAUCGGCUUGAUCUCAACGCUUAGCUCUAUCCCUCGGCCCUGCCGGUCGCGCACCAUCUUGUCGCACAGCCUCUGGGACAGUAAGACGCCACCUUUCGGCAGAGACACGUCCAGGUCCACGGCCGACCACCUGCCCACGCAGAAGGAAGGCAGUCUGCUCCACCCGACGACGCUCGUCUCGUUGUAGUACAUGACCACGGCCGUGUUCUCCCAGCAGACUCGCCGCAUAUGCUGUUGUUGUCCACAUGGAUGGUGAGGCUGAAGGCCGGCGCCGAGACAGACGCAUCAAGGCUCUCGAGACCUUAAACUUGGACAGAGAAGCGAGGGUGCACGUAGCGAACCCGGCCUAGCAGGUACGCCGAGCCACAGAACAGCAGGACGAAGGCGCAGGACCACCAGGAGCCAUGCAACGAAGGGAGGAGUUUCGCCGUUCUCGCCUCGUUGGUCGGGUCUCACUCUCGCGUAGUCGGCCAUGACACCCCCGAGAUCGAUCUGUGAACGAAUCUCAGAGAUAGCCGCCGCGCCGGUCUGGAAUAUAAGGGGGUGUUUGGAUACACCCUCCUAAACUUUAGGACCUGUCACAUCGGAUGUUUGGAUACUAAUUAGGAGUAUUAAAUAUAGUCUAAUUACAAAAUUAAUUGCACAGAUGGAGUCUAAUUCGCGAGAUGAAUCUAUUAAGCCUAAUUAGUUCAUGAUUUGACAAUGUGGUGCUACAGUAACCAUUUGCUAAUGAUGGAUUAAUUAGGCUUAAUAGAUUCGUCUCGCGAAUUAGUAUAGGGGUUCUGCAGUUGGUUUUAUAAUUAGCUCAUGUUUACUCCUCCUAAUUAGCGUCCGAACAUCCGAUGUGACCCUCCUAAAGUUUAGGACUUCGUAUCCAAACACCCCCUUCUAUAGCACGCGCGCCACGCAGCCAGCUAGGAUCCGUUUCGGUUGGCCGGUGUUCCGAGCUAAUCGUCGUCGGACUCCCUAAUCCGAUUCGAGUCCAAGUUCAAAAACCAGUACCACCUUUCGAUGCAAUUCAGUGCUCUGAGUUGCAAGUUUUCUUCUUCGUUAAAGAAGAAAUUCGACUUCGACAGAAGGCCUAUGGCACGCCGAGUGUCGACUAGGAGCAGCAUAGUGCAUCUUAGAGCUAUGAGAUCGGAGUUUAUAUUUCAUCACGUAAUCUUAUUUAUAUAAACAGUUCACUCAUCUUUCUCCUUAUAUGAUAUAGCAGUGCUCCUGCCCCUUUACGUUUAAAAAAAAUCAGUACCGCCGCCUCUGCCCACGCAAGACCCGGAUCCGUAUGGAUGACGGAAACAAUUGCAAUAGGUGACUAUAAAUAGCACAGGGCCAAUACAUACAUGGGCUAUAGGCACGAAAUUUCUCCAGACGCGCGCCCUGGCUACAAACUUCGCUAGGCGAGCCAUGGAAGGUCUCCGACGCGUUGGACACCCGUUCUUGGACUUCGCUUACGAGGGACUCCCUGCCCGCCACGACUCUAGGGUGAAAUUCGCGCUAGACUUCGUAGCAAUGCAGCUUGGCCUCGCGAUCUCUUGUAUCUAUGUGCUCGCGUCGGUGAUCUUUUGCUUGGUAAUGCACCAUAAUAUCAUGUACUCGGUGGAAGAUGCGUCGUCUGGACACUGCUAACAGGUGGAGGUCACCGGCAUCGAGGCAUCAGGUCUUCCGGGCCCGCAAGACACGACACCCUCGUCGCCGCUGCGCUUCAACCUCACUGCCCGCGUCGUCAACCGCAGAUCGGACACGCCGAUAUGCCUAAGAAACUGGCAGGUUGAUGUUUGGCACGCUGGAGUACCAUUUGGUAAGGCCUACUUCCCUGAUACGUGCUUGGAGGCCGGGAUGUCACAGACAGUAUUGAAGGCGUCUGCGUCGAACUCCGAGCUGCGAGGGCUGCACGGUGAAAUUCUUCAGCACCACAUGGCGAGCCGCACAUCACCUGGACACCUUAAUAAAGAACUGGUUGAGACGACACUCAACCAAUGUACAAAAUAGUAAGCUAUGAGAUUUAGCGUAGCGCUGUCCGCUAUAGUUCACUAUAGUGUCGCUAUAGCCCACUAAUUAGUACAACACUGUUGUAACGGUAGCUAGCAUCAACCGCUAUAGCCUGCUAUUUCAUACAUUGCACUCAACUACUUCAACGACCAUGAUCACAGAGGAAAGUUCGACCGGCUAUGGUGUCACGCAACAAUGGACAUGCAAUCGCCACAAUCUCCGUGUCGCAUUCACAAUUUAUGGCCUCUGGCAAAGUAGAGAGAAAUCUUCCUAGGUCAUGUGUUCGUUCUAUGUAUCAUUGGUAUACCAACGGGUCUACCAAUGGGAAUCAAGUAAUUAUAUUUAAUUUCUCCUAGCAAGAAAAAGAAGAGUACUAUAAAAAAUUUGUGAUAUAUACACAUGCCGAUAUGCGUGCGUAGCGCAACAGCGGUGCCAUGUAUACGAGACAUAUAUUCUUCAUCUUUAUUUCACUGGAAUCAGAUAUAUAAUAUAUUCUCCAUCUUUAUCCUUAAUAUGAUCCUGUAUUAAAUUAUGGGUUUCACAUAUAACAUAUUUGUCUUCUUUUUCUAAUCUGUGUUGCCCAUUCUCAUAUUAUUUUGUUGACGUGCACUUCCUUCGUUCUAAAUUAUAAUGCACUUUACCUUAUCAUAAAUGAAACUUAUUUAACUUCAACCAAGUUUAUAGAAAAAUAUCUACAACUUAAAAUUUAAUUUUAUUAAAUCUACCAUAAAAUAUAGUGCAUUUAUUUUGAAUUGUUGAUGUUAUUGUAUUUUUGUAUAAAGUUUAUCAAAAUUAGUCAAUUUUGACUUUAGGAUAAAACUAAAGUGAACUGAGAUAUUAACUUUUUGUGUACUUUGACAAGUAACAUAUGUUUCCUGUUUUUUUAAGAAAAAUAUCAAAUUUAUACCCUCCAACUAUGAUGAUGUAGUCUAAUUUUCAGACCUGUAUGACAUAAUCGGAAAAAAUUGGCCAGUGGUUAUGAAGGUAGUUUUCUAUUUUCUAAAAGUAAUAAGCAAUUGGUUUAAUAAAAUUCAUGACUAAUUUAUUUCAAAUUAGAAAAAUAUGAAACGUGUAUGUGUUUUUUCUCAAAAAAUUUAAUCUAUCUUUUGGUGGUAUAUUUUGUACUUAUUUUGGAACUUAUUUGUUACUUCACCCUAUUAUUUUAUUGCUAGCACUUGUGCCAAUUGCUUAUUUAAAUUAUUGUUUUUGCAUUGUAUAAAACCUAGAGAUGGACCAAGAGUUUAAGUGGACUGUAAGUGUACACAGAAGAUCUAGAAGACGAUACCAACCACACAAGUGCCAUGCUCCACUACAUAUAGAUCCUAUUAGGCAUUUCAUCACUACAACUUUACUUUAUGUGGUUACAUGAUUAGGCUAUAGGUUUUAAACAAGGCUGGGGAUCAAACAUCAAGUAAUCAACUAUUUGGAAAAUGACAAUUUAAGUAAAUAACAGACAUGACUAGACCAACAAGCAGUAAAACACAAGGAAUAUGAGGAAACAAGAUCAAAUAUAGGUACACUUUUAGAAAAAAAAGGUUGAUUCUAGUUUCAUAUUUUUAAAUUUGAAACAAAUUAGUUGUGAAUAUUUUAGAUUAAAAAAGUUCUUAUUAUUCCUAAAAAAUGGAAAACAUUUUUGAAACCACAUAAAGGACCAAAUUUGUAUGGGUUUAGUAGUUGGAUGGUGCUCGACGUGAUUUUGUGGUUUAGGGUUGAUUGAAAUAGUUGAUGGGUGUAAAUUGUGCAUAAUUAGAUUCCAUGAUGACCAUGAAUGUGCGUGCAGCAUGACGGUGAUGCCUCUUGCUAGGAGCACACCCACCCGAGUUUGAUUCCUAGCGGCAACGACUCUGGAUGUCCCACUGGGAUUUAUUUUCAAAUUUAAUUCUGCAAUUUCUGGACGUAAACGUGGAGUCAUAAUGGUAUUGUGACAUGCUCGUCACCUAUGAAGCGCUGCAUGAUUUCAUCGAUAACCAGAAGGAUGGGUGGUGGAUGUAUAGUUUGUAGGUUUAGCAUAUGUGAGUGUGUGUGGGUGUAUAUGUGUGUUUGUGCGUGCGUUCAGAUAUUAAAGUGGUACCUUAGUUGUCAUGGCUAAAAAAUUAGUCAAUUAUGGAUAGUGAGGUUGAAAGCCAUCACAAAGACAAUAGAAUUGCACAGUGAUGCGCCUGACGUGCCCAUCAUCUUCGCUUCACCAAGCUCUUGAUACCAAUUGUUGAUUUUGCUCAGAAUCACAAACGAAUUUGGAGAGAAAAGAAUUGAAGGAAAAACACACACAAUUCCAGAACUGCAACAGCUUAGCUCUUCCUCCUUUUCUUUUCCUACGUCCUCAAAAUACUGAUGCUUUGCUCUGCUUUUAUAGUCCAAACAGAAGCAUAGCACUUGUACUUGGAAUACAACUCUACCUUGAUCGUGCGGACAUACAAGGCUCGAGGCCAUCUCAUCUAUGGUCUGAACUUCCUUGUUUGCACAUCUACUUCCUAAACUAGUAUAUGGCAAUAGACUCUAAAUCGGACUUGAUUUGAGUCCUUGCUUCUGACGUGCAUGUUUUUCAUACAGAUACAUGCAUGACCAGUCCUACAAGGACUCAAAUACAUAAUGCUUGACUACAAGUACGUUUAAUCUACUUGCCUACUUUAAUAAUAAACUUGAACCAUGCCUAAAUAUACAAAAAACGAGAUUAAACCCCACAUUCUAAAGAAAGAAAGUGGCCUCGGACAACCUACUUAGGCAAACCAUGGGCACUCAUAUGGCGCAAAUGCUCCAUAAUAAGGAUCUAAUCCACAUGGACAUCGCCAACAAUAACCUCUUUUUUUCGACUCAAUCUAAUGUAAGCAUCAAAGAUCAGGCAGGGAUGAAGAAAGUGGUGAAGAAGUAGGGUGUCAUGUUGUUGUUCUAUUGCUUGAUGCUAACUUGUUCCUCCUCUUGUUACUAAGUUUCUCCAUAUACUUGCUCUUUGUCUUCAUGUUAGGAUAAAUAUUUUAUUCGUUGAUGAUUCUGGUGAAGAAGAAUAGGAUGCUAGUGGAGAAAAGGAGGUAGUUAAAAAACAUUUUUUUUUCUUUAGCAACGGAAAAUGUAGAGCCAUCCUACAUGAUCAAUUGAUUGGAUCUUGGUUGAAGGGUGAACAUCGAUGUAUAGAAUAUUUAUGGUCCCAAGUCAAUAGGUUACUACUUUUCUACUAUGCUUUGGGAAAUUUGUUUGCUUGUCAGCUGCAGUACAUGUUAGGCUCUAGCUUUGGAUGUUGGAUAUUCAUCUAUACGAUGUUGUUGUUUAGACCCGCAACCUAUCGAAUGUAUCCCAAGAAAGUAGAUUGGUUAGAUGGGUUUGUUGAGAUCAGCAACUCGAUGGUGAAGGCGAGACACGAUUUAGAUAGGUUCAUUGAAUAUUGUAAUACCCUACGCCAUGUGUGGUGUAUUGCCUUGCAUUGGGAAUUGGGAUUGAUUGAUUCUUUAGGGUCCCUGCCUAGCCUUAUAUCCGAGGACUAUGUUACAAGUCAUUUGUACACAAAUCCUAGUUGGCUAAGACGGGCGAAGUCCUAAUCUUAUACAAAGGAGUACUUUUCAUUUAUCAGACUAGUUUUAUUCUUAGUAUGGUUGACUACGUCAUCCUGCACCGUAGUCUCGAUCCGAGCAUGUGGGUUGUCCUAUCUCCAUUCUGAAGUUGUCCAUGCCACGCAGUAGGUUGAUGGAUCUCAGUUCGUCACAUGAUGAGGUGCAAUUUCCUAGAUCAUUAUUCGUAUGAUUGAAAAGAUUUUUUUAAAAAAAUGCAUCCUGAGGGGUUUAGAAUGGCUUGGGUUCCGUUUAUAAAGGAUAGCAUAAACAGUAUGCACAUUUUUAUCCUCUAGGGAGAGGGAUCGUGGCACAUGUAAUUCUCUCACUAUAUGUUUGUGCUUUGAUACCUAUAUUUGAUUUUGGUUCUUGAAGUCAAGUCCAUGCAUGAUUAUGGUGGUGUGAAUUAAAUACCCUAUUAUGAAUUUGAAAUUUAAAUUAAUAUGCAUUGUGUAAAGAAUAUUUUAGCCAAAUUUAUAUAGGCUGCUCACAACUUUAAGAUUAUCGUAUUAAUUUAUGUAGCCUUCGCAUUGUUUAUAGGAUAAUGGUACAUAAGAACUUAUAAAAUUUAGAUCAUUAAUAGGACUGUGACCUAGUGUCAAAUAUAUUCUUUUAAAAAGAAUUUAUAGACCAUGAAUAUGUUAAUUUAGGAUUUUAAAAAAUUAUUAGAUAUUUUGUUGGUCAGAUUAUAUUUGAAUACUUUGAUAUUAAUCAUACAUGUUUUCAUGUUGUAGCAAAUAUUUCAUAAAUCUAUCUAAAGGUGAAGUACAUACUAAAUGUUUGGACAUCUACAUGGAGUACAAUUAUAGUUCUACUUAUUUUGUCUCUAAAGGUAAGACACAUGUUGACACAUGUCCAAAGCACAAUAUACCUUACCAUGUUUUGCCAAGAAGUGAAUGCCUCACCAUUUAUAUAGAAGCAAAUCAGUGGUUGCAUGAACAAAAUCAAAUCUUUGUAACACUCUUUCUAUUACUAGAUUCAUAAGAAUUAUCAAUUAUUUCACUAUAACAAUUCACUUGUUUUAGUCAAUUUUGAAGAUCAAAACUUUAUUUGGAUGAUAUUUUUUAACAUCAAGUGCACACAUUUAUUGGACAUUUACUUACUUUUUAGAUGCCUUGGUUAUUGUUACACAACUUCUUCUACAUAUCUUGAGUUUAGAGUUAACAAUUAGAUUGUAUGUUGUUAACUUAGGUAUAUAUGUAGGCCAACUGUUUGUUAGCUCAACCCGAACAUGAGAUUUUUUGUUAUUUCAUAGAAAAAUUAUUAAUUUCUAUAUUGGUUAUCCAGUAGCAAACAUAAUAUAUUAUGCCUCUUGGGCUAUGUAUGGUUGUUUUCUCAAUCUUUCUAUGAACAAACAGGGCAAGCAUAUUUCAAACACUUACUCUCUCAAUUUUUCUAUGGACAAAUGGAAAAACGAUGCAUUGCUUUUAUAAAUUAAAAGUCUAUACUUACAAAUGAUACUAUCAACAUAUUUGAUGAUAAAAUGCAUUGUUAACUCAUGGGAUUUGUUACUAUUUCCUUCAAGUUUUGCAUCAUGAAUAUAAACAUGACCGAUACUAUUAUUGUUAUUGUAAUACUUACCAAUUUGCCAUGAGUGGUAUUUUCACACCAAGCACGCUACUUGUAUAUGGGGUCACUCUUAUAAUUUGUUCAAUAGCAAUUGUUAUGGUACUCCAAAAUGAGUAUGGGAUAGACGAAUAUAACUAUUAUAAUUGUCACGCUAAUAGAUGAAUAUAACUAUUAUAAUUGUCACGCUAAUAGAUGAAUAUAACUAUUAUAUUAAAUUUAUUUUUUUUGGAAAAUAGGAUAAAUAAGGGAAAAAUUACUAGGUAGACCUAACUUUCCUAGAUGGCCUAUUAGAUCUAACUUCUUGCAUGAUGUAUUGUGAUAGGUGCGUUAAGUGACAACUAAUGUAUCUUUUUUUUUUGCUAGUGUGUUAAAAAGAAUAACAUGACCUAUCAUGAAGUGUGUGACAAACUUGAAAGAAAACAUGUAUUAAUCAUGUUUCAUGGGAUAUUUUGCAUGCGACAAACCAUAGCUGAAAAUGUGCCUUCAAACCAUGGUGAGUUCUCCACAUGUGAUACCUCUGUUAAUGGUCAAGAUGUGACAUGCAACAUGUUAGGUCCAUAUGUAUUUUACCAAGUGCAUAACUACAAAAGUGAGUAACGAUAUAUAUUUCGUUCAUUCAAGACUUUGUUUGGAGUAAACUGCAUUACUAUAAAAGUAACACACAACUUGCAUAGCAGGUUCACACAGGUCAUAUAGUUUGUGUCACACCCGGGUUUAUAAACACAACCAAAUGUUCACUUUAUGUAUGUCAUGAUCAUAUUACAUACAUAAAGUUUGAGUACAUCAUCUGAUAUACAUUGCCAUAUCAUGUUAAAACAUCACAAAAUGACCUAGCGGUCCAAAAGAAAAGUACAAUUAUUGCUUGUUAUCUUGUGCAGAAGCAGGCUCCAUGACCACAGACAAUCAACCGGGGGUUCACACUCCUAGAUCUUCAUGGCCUUCAUCACUUGAGCAGCAUUUAUGGAGGGAGAGAGAGAGAGAGAAUAGUAGAGGUUGAAGGGGAAAAGUGUGGGAGGUAAGGAAAUGAAGGUUUAGAUCAAGAACUAGCUGCAAUUUGCAAGCACAAGUUUUAGUCGGUCAUAUUUUAUUAAACUACAUACUUACUAUGAUGAGAGUCUGCAACCCAAACCCAACUUCAAGGUGAAACAUCUAUCAUCUAGAGCCAAACAACCCAUCCAAACCAACCAUACCACCAACUAACCAUGUGAGGGUCCAAGCUACUCUUGUUGAGCAUGUGGCGGUUAUAACCGUUUUACACUCUGCAGAGGGGGUACAUCUUUACUCACGAGUUGUGCUACCCGUUCAUGCCUGGGGUUGCAAGCCUCUUCACACAUUGCCAAGAUGUGUGGGCUUGGUACACUAUGAGGCAAUUACAUAGGUUCCCCAACACUUAUUCACCAGACUCCAAGUGCACAACCCAUCAUUGAGCCUUGCUGGACUCUUGGGAACUCGGCUCUUAUCUAGCCCAAACAGUCCACUAGGUUGCCCUACUUAAUUAGCUAAGACCAUAGCCCAUUUAGUUCUCGUGGUUGUGCAUGUCCUUGAAAUGGCUCAAGCAAGAUGAGCAUCAACCCAAAACACCAUCCACCAGACAAAUACUUGCUCGAGUCCCUAGGCUUCCAUGUUUCUAAAAGAUUACCAACCCAUGUGAUUACAUAGUUGAUUAUUCAUUAUUAAAAUUAAACCCAACCCAGGUGUAGAGCACAACUAAGCAAGUCACUACCUAAAAACCAUAACACUCUCUAUGGGCUUCAAGGAAGUCACAAACAAAUCUAGUAACCCAACAUAGGAUUCCCAUAGUAACUCAAUGCGUGAAUAAAGCAUAAAUAGAAAGUGAUAUUAUUGUAAAUGCAAGUAAACAGGGAGUAUGCAUCAAGGACACUUGCCUUCGUCAUGCUUUUGCUGGAUCUUCACGUGCACUCGAUCUUUUCUCGAACAGCUACUUGCAGCAACUAUCGGAAACAAGCAUACAUACAAAAGUAUAAGAAUAGUACACUUGAAGGGACCGUGACACCCUAAGAGGAGGGGGUUGAAUUGGGUGUUCUAAAAACUAAGACUCCAAGCACAUAUAAAAACCUAUAUCAACUUCUAUCUAGAUGUGCACUAGGUUUUUCUAUGUGUUGCUAUAUCUACCGUAAAAGAGUUUUGCACCCUAGGUUCCAAUCCUAUAAACUACACAUGGCAAUUCUAGGAAAGGUAAACGCGGAAUUGUAAGUGCAAUAAGAAAAGUGAAAGGUAAAUGAGGUAGAGAAGGCAAACUCCUGGCGUGGCGACACAGCAAUUUUUUCCGAGGUAUCGGAAAGUAAAGCUUUCCACUAGUCCUCGUUGUUGCAGCCCCUCUCAAAGGGAAUGCCCGUGCAAGGGCAUAAACUCCCCGGUCAAGUAACUCCGUAUGAUAGCCGACGGGCCUUCCCCACGCGUAAGUGGGUCUCCGCCUAGCCUCUCCCAGAUGCUCCUUGCAGCUCUUCACUUGGUAGAGCUUUGGCAAAACGCCAAGGGCCUCUCCUCCCUCUCAAAAGCACCGGCUGCCACUCCACAAACGCGGUUGGAGGGUCUUGAGAGACUUACAAGCUUCGGAUUUACAACUCUUGGUGCGCGCAAGCACCGAUACAAAGGAGGUGUGCAAACUUGGCCUAACUCUAGGCUAAACCCUAAAUCAAUGCGCUAAUAGGUCUAAACUAGCACUAACCAAGACCUAAGCCUUACAAUAAUUGUCUUAAUUUUCUCUUUAGCACUUUGGUAUAGAGCACUUGUGUUCAUGUGAGAACCAAGCCUAUAGUUUCUCCAAGCUCUAACAUACCUCAAAUGGCCGAGCAAUGGGGUAUAUAUAGCCCCAACUCCAAGAACUAGCCGUUACAUAGCCAUUGUAACUUUCUGUGUAUCACCGCCUCAUUUGCUACCCUUGUCACUGUAGCCACCAUAUGAAUCGGUGAGGUCCAAUUAUACUCCAAAACUUCUAGAGCCGAUUUAUAGCCGGUUUGAGUCGAGCCGACGAUCACCGACUUAUUCAGUGACGGUUACUGUUACCAGAGUAUGAAUAGGCGGUAACAAUGCACGCGCCUACCUUUGCCCUGCCUGUGGUCACCGACUGAAUCGGUGACGGUUACUGUUCCUAGAGUAUGAAUCGGUGGUAACAGUGCAUGCCCUACCUUGACCCUGCCUAUGGUCACCAACUGAAUUGGUGAUGGUUACUGUUACCAUAGUAUGAAUCGGUAGUAACAGUGCACGCGCAUACCUUGGCCCUGCCUGUGGUCACCGACUGAAUCGGUGAUGGUUACUGUUACCAGAGUAUGAAUCGGUGGAAUAUGUCGAUGCAUAUUUGUAGCAGGAUUCGCUUCAAAUCUUCGCGUGUCUUUGUCCAUUCUUCAUUAUCAUCAUUUGUAAGCCUUAGAAUAAGACUAAAACUAGAUUUUUACUAUCAUUUGGAUGCCAUAAAUUUCUUCUAAGUCUUUCUUUUUCUUCUCAUUUUGAUGGUUUUGUAAUUCAUCCUUGGGACUUAUAAAACAUAUGUCAGGCAUACAUCCAUGGGUCCACCAGAAGGUUAGUAUGAAUCCACAUGUGGAGAAGUACACCGAGAUGUAUCAAGACAUGGAGACUACGGUACGGGGGUGGCGUGGUCUAUAUGGAAGUCCAAGGGACUGGUCGAGGAUAAGGAAACUACUCUUCCUAGUUGAAGUAGUAAUCGGUAGUCAGAUCCGACUAGUACUCUUGUAAAACAACUACCCUGUAACCCUGGUCCCCCAAUAUAUAAGGGCAGGCAGGGACCCCCCUCAAGAGAAGUUCAAUCCAAUACAAGCAAACACCAUACAGGACAUAGGUAUUACGCAAUCUAGCAGCCCGAACCUGUCUAAAUCGCGUGCCUAGGUACUCCAUCGAGCUCCUAAUUUCGACGACACCCACCAACCAAAACUCUACCUCGGGUAAUCCCUUAGUAGGUUGCCGGGUUUAAACACCGACAACGUACAUCUUGCAAACACAUUAGUCCCAAUGACUAUAUUGUCAUCAAUCACCAAAAUCAUAAUGGGCUAGAGCCAUUUUCCUUACAACACUAAAUAGUGACAAAAUAGUAUUGAAAGAAUUUUAAAAGAAUGGUCUCAUCGAUACAAACUCGUGAGCGCAUGAGUCACUUAAAUCGGAAUCACGAGUAAAAACUAAAAAGUACUAAUAGUUUUACUAACCAAGAAAUAAAAUGUAAAAUAUAACAUUUCUAGAAUUAUUUUUAUACUGGAAAAUGGUAUUAAUGACAUCAACAUGGGUGGUUUAUGACAUCAGCAAAGAUUUAUGGAAAAGUUUAGUAUAUUUAUUGGAAUUUUGGUAAGUUUAUCUGGUAAUGAUGUCAGCAUAACGUCAGCAUGAACUUUGAUGUAAAUAAAGUAUUUAGAAUCGGUUUUAUUGCAAGUUUUACAAGAUACGAAGAACGGUUGACUAAUUAAUUACUAGGUUUCUCACGGGCUAGAAUGUAAGAUAGCCUGGCCAAAUAUGUUGACUUCAGUCAAGGAUCAAUCUCGGUUCUAGGAUCUGGUUUGGGCGACUGGAUUUUAAAAAACAAGGGGGGAUGGUGGGAUUUAAUCAGGGCCGUGCACGCGGGGUGAUGGACGACAAUGAUGCGCCGCCAGUUUAUGGUCACUGGUGCCGCCUGGAAUUGAAGCACCAGUUCAUUGGACUAGCUCGAUGCUAGCGCUACGGUGCAUGGGAAACGACAGGGAGUAGCACAAUAGGGAGAGGAGCGAAUGGCGAGCUCACCAUGGGUCGGAGAUUGGGUAGAGGCACGGCGUAGAUGUCGUGUAGCGGAUGGAGGUGGAGCGGUUUGGUGGCAUGGGGUGACGACGUGCCUGUGGCCUCGAGUGGCAGACGUCGAGUAGCGAGGUGUUCCUAUGAUAGCAUGGAAAGGAUGAAGGGUGAGAUCCGGACAUCGCACGGUGAAUUACGGUGGCGGAGCCUUCAUCUUACCCGAGGCGGAUGGAAUGGAUUCAGCGGGCGGGUGCGAGAGGCGAGCGUGGCGGCGUGGGUUGGCAAAAAGGGAGGUCGAGGAGGCUCGCAUGGUUUUAUAGGGAGGAAGUGCUAAAAAUAUAGUCUAAAAAUUUAUUUUUGGACCUUGCCAAAAAUUAUUGGGCGACAAUUCCAAGAAAGCUGGUUCCAAAACAAAUCAAAUUGCUACCACACCAUAUUGUUGUGGGCCCCUACUAUUGUUUUUUUUUCACGUCAAUAGAAUGCCGCUUCUUUCUUUCUUUUUUCUUCUCACCACGUUGUUGCCAAGCAAGACCGUCAUGGCCAUUGCUUAGCGCGGUGGACAAAAGCAAGCCGGCCAAAGAAAUUUGGGGGGCGAAUUCUUGAUCUGGACAUCUUUAACCGAGCUUUGAGACUGAGGUGGCUCUAGCUGGAGUGGAUUGACCCAGAUAAACCUCGGGUUGGCUCUGAGGUACCCUGUAUUGCGGUGGAUCGGCAACUGUUCAGGGUAAGCACUGUGGUUACAACUAGGGAUGGAAACGAGGUUUCGUUUUGGCAGUCAUCUUGGUUGAGAGGUCGUGCGCCGAUGGACAUUGCACCUAGACUAUAUAAGUUGGCCUGGCCUGGCGUAAGAACAUGGAGGUGAGGGAGGAGUUACCAAAUCAUUAUUGGACGAGAGGUUUAUGGUGCAUGAACACAGUUGAGGAGAUGGUGGAAUUUGUUGUCCUGUAGGAUAUGGUUCAGGAUGUGGUUUUCUUUGGUAGGCCAGAUGAAAUUUUGUUUGGCGCUGGACUGCUGUGGAGCUUCUCUCUCCUGCUCAGCAUACAUGGCACAGUUAUCUGAUUCAUACAGUACAUUUAGUGGAAGUUCACAAAUUCUUUGCAUGGCUGCUGGUGCAAAGUAAGAUAUACUUACUGCUGACAAGCUGGUCGUAAGAAAUUGGCCCUGCAACACAACUUGCUGUUUAUGUGAUCAGGAAGAAGAGACAGCACAGCGCACCUUUGCCUGCAUUAUGUGUUCACGCGUGAGAUUUGGGUGCACAUGAACUCCUGGUGCUGGAGUAUGGAAUGUCGAUCGAGGAUUGGUGGCAGCGAUCUCUCAGCCCAUACUCAAAGAUUCAGAGAAGGAAUGUAGCAGCUCUGCUCAUGUACACUUCUUGGAAAAUAUGGAAGUAAAGAAACCGGCGCACCUUUGAUGGAAGAAUGGUGAAUGCAAUGCAGGUGUUCUGGUUCAUCGAAGAAGAGAUCGCUGUGAGACAGCAAGCUGUCGGAGGGCCAACUGUAUCAUAGGAGUAGUUUUUAGUUACUUUCUGUUAGUUUAUUUUCAGCUGAUGAGAGUGUUCAAUCAUUUAUGUAAUAAGCCCCAUAUAAGACAUGUUAUGCUUCCUCUUCUAAAAUUAAUCGGCUAUACGUACUAGACUACUCUCGAGUGCCGUAUAGAUUUCGCGUAUACAAUGAUACUACAUAUAGCAUACUAAACCCUCCUAUUUAGCACAUCUCUUUCGGGAUAUGUAAUUCGUCUUGUCCACUAAACUGUGAAUACGGCACGGUGAAGGUGGAGAUUGCACAUCCAUUACUGCCGCGUUGCACCAGAGCCAGUGGAAUACUGGAGAGCUGUACGAUACGUUACGGCGCCCCUUAGACUCCACGUACAUGUGCGUCAUCUCGAUCUGUAGCUUAGGGUCUCCGUGUGAUUUCUGCCCUGCCAUGCGGCGUUGAACUUCACCUGUCAACCCGAUCAGCUCGCUGCGCGACGUGGACGCCUUCACCGACGCGUUCGACAUCUUCUCCAAGCAGGUGUCAGGGAAGUAGGCCGUAAUCCAUACAGGCAUAUCCUUGUUUUCCAGUGCCGGCCGGUUCGUGACGCGAGCGGUGAGGUUGAAGGUUGGUGGCGGCGGCGGCGGCGGCGGGGCCGUCGAGUCUUGCGGGCUGAUCAGGAAACCUGAUGCCUCGACGCCGGUGAUCUCCGCCUGGUAGUAUCCGAGUGCAUCUUCCGCCGUCCAGUAGGCGAAGCCGUAUGCUGCGUGGCAACAGAGCAGCAACCCGAGCAGAACGAUGCCAAUCAGCGCGAACCCCAGCAGAAUUGCUACGAAGUCCAGCACGCGUUUGCCUAUCUCGUCUCGUAAGCAGCGUCCAAACCCAGCCGCCGCCUGACGCGCAGGGGAUGUUCGUUGGCUCGGCGAGCCAGGGACGGCGUGGAGCGUUGAGCCAGUAGAGGCUCCAUACUAACACAUCUUACAUUUUGGAACAUGAGAGUACUUUAUGAUGUUCCCUGCUUAAAUGGGAAAGAAACUUUUUUUUUUGCGUUACAUGUGAAGCAACACUGCUAUUCUGUUAUGUGAUGGCAAAGAUAUUUCAGUGACAAAAUUGUGAAGGAAGGCAAUGUUGCUAUGAGGGCCCAAACCUGGCCGGCCGGUAGCUCACGAUCACAUCGAUGCUCACUCUCUAAUCUCUGUUCUUGGCCGUAUAUAAAUAGAGACUGGAUUCUUUCUAAUUAUGUGUGUAUAUGUGCGUUUGGUUGCAGAUCAAGAUGGAAUAGUGUGCCACACAACACAACUAAUCGGAGUGAGAUACCGGAGGAAACUAAAUAGUUCGAUGGAGAUGCAUGCUGCCGCUGGCCACACUACCCUUGUUCGCUCAUCUUGUUAACCACAGCACAAAUGUGAGCUAGGCCUGCAUGAUAUUAUACUAAGAGAGCGACUGCUCGUUUCCCCCUUUGUGUAGAUUGGCAGGUUAAUGCUUGCUACUGCUAGAGUCAUUGUGUUAUCUCUAGAUGUCUGGUUGUACAUGGAAGAGACAGCGGGCCAAGGAGUAGAGACGCUUGCUUAUCGCAUCCUUUCUGGCAUGGCUUGCACAUGAUCCAGGGCCAGGAUCCGGUGUCGACAAGGACGGAGUGUAUACAGACAGGUGUUACGUAUGUAGCUAAAGUAGACCCAUGGAGCACUAUUGGCGAUGAUCUCCCUGGAAACGUUCACUUCAUCCAAGGGAUCCGAGAUGCUACUGGCGAGAUGAAUGGAACGUGACAGCAGUCCAGCACCGACGGGCGCGCGCGGCGCGACGGAGAAGUGCAAGGCAUAAUAUAGCAUAAUGUAUCACUCUGAAUUCUCCCACUUGUUUGAAGAACAGAAGAUGAGCACCGAGAUUAUACAGAAAAGAAAAUAGAAGAGUUUUUUUAUAAAUGGGGAGAGCUGCCCGAUUAUAUUAAAAAAAGAAGGAGUUGCAAACCGUAUGAAAAGAUAGUAUGAAAAGGAAAGAAAAACAAAACAGACUCGUCUGGUUGGAUUGAGAUAUCAACGCGAGUAGUCACUCAACUCAAAACUGCCAUACUCGACCGGUUAGAUUGGGACAUCAACGUGACCUCACCACUCCACUCACCACGACGGCACCCACCAACAACCACGCUCAUGUAUUCGCCGAAACCUCCGGGCGUGACCCUGCGUGACAGGAUUGAUAGAAAUAGACUGCACCGCACCGAGAAGGCCACCGCCAUGCGGGACCCUCCGUUGUAGUGCCGCUGCAACGCCACACUCCACCUGACAGAGUGAUGCCACCGAAUCCAGACCUCUCGCAGGCUGCCUCACAGUCGCCACUGCGAUAACAUAACGCGUGGGGGCCUCUCCAUAUCCAUUGUUGGACUCCAUCUCACUCCCAUCGCCUCUAAGAAACACCACGCGCAGGGCCUUGCCACGCCCACCACAGUACUCCACAUCGCGGAUUCGUUUCUUUUAUCGCUGUCAGAGUGGUGAGCAAUGUUGCCCGCUCCACAAUAUUUGCGUCGAUCAGCCAAACCGCCACCGUAGGUCGACUUCGCCUCGUUGCUUCACCCGCGCAAAAGCAUCCACCACCAUGUCAGUAAGCCAGAGAAGUCACUUGCGCUGUCUUCCGACGAUGUACCGUACCGGGUAGCCCAGCCAAGCUGAGCAACCCGCCGCGGUCCGCUACAAGCUUAGUUGUCCCACGAUGCCGUUGCCGCAAGCGCCGUUCUCCGACGCAGUCCCAUGCCGCACUGACCGUUGCCAAGCAACACCAGCCGCGCGGCCCGCUGCAAGCGACCAAGACCGACAAUCAUGCGACAACCCCUAGCCGCCACCAUAACUGCGAUCGCCUCCACGUGGCCUCAGCAACAUCCGUCCAGCUUGCCACGCGGCGAAAUUAUCGCCACCGGCUGCGGCCGUCCAUGACUAAUGGGCCAGCAAUGCCACAGAUAGAUAUGGAUCUCUAGAGACGACGCCUUCAAGGAGGGUACGAUGUCAAUGGUGCCGCCGUCGUAGAAUUGGAUAAAAUUUUCACUCAAAGGACCCCGUGCAGCAAGGUUGUAGCUCAGGCAUGAUGCCCUCAACGCGAAGAACGACGUCCUAUGGCAUACUCGAUGUUCGCCAACGAGCCACAGAAUCCCCAUGUGAUUACACGCAAAAUAGUGUAAGCAGUUCUCUUUCUUUCAGUAGAGUAAGCAGAGUGCGAAAUUUCUUAGCGAUUAUUCUCGCGUGUGAUGCAGCAAGCCCAAUCGGCUUAGUGAAACUUCUACCGUCUCGGCGCCGGCCUUCAACCUCACCAUCCACGAUUCCACGCCCAUAGCAAGCAGCACCUCCGGCGAAUCUGCUGGGGCGACAUGACCUUAAUCGUGUACUACAACGAGACGAUGGAGCACGCUGCUUGCAUUCUGCGUGGACAGGUGGUCGGCCGUCGACCUGAACGUGACCCUGCAUGUUUCUGGGCCUGUUCGCUUCAGCUUAUUCAGCCGGCUUAUCAGCCACCAAACAGUGUUUUUCUCUCACAACAAAUCAGCCGUUUCAACUUUUCAGCUGGCUUAUAAGCUGAAGCGAACAGGCCAGACGCUGCGCGAGAAGAUGGAGCGCGACCGACAGGGUUCUUCAUCUCGUCCAGCAAGAAUUUCGUGUUCGGAUCCAUGGCACCGAGUUUCUUUUGGAAUGAGGUAAAGUGGUGGUGGGAAUCCAGCACGGGUUCCAGGAUCUAGUCUAUCAUACGAGAUUUGAAGCAGCAGGCUUUAGAAUUCGAAGGAAUCGGGGAACAGAGGACAGCGAAAACUGGAGAAGAACAGAGGUGACAGGCUUAGGAGGCUCUCUCAAGUCUCAACUCACCCCCAUACUCAUUAGUCGUUACAUAGUGGGCUGGGCCCAUUGUGAGCCGGACACACGGACAUUGGGCUUCAUGGGCCGUUGGCUGACAGAUCAUCAUGUUCAAUUCUUCACAAUUCAGUUCCACUGCCGCUUCAUUCUCUGUUUCUCUUCAGGAUGCAAACAGAUAGCAGGGCUGCCAGACAGUGUCCCACUCUACGCAUGGGAUGGCAUAUAGUGAUGUGGAAGAAGACAAAGGCAGAUAUGUAUUGAAUUGUCACUUGAGAUAUGCAUAUAUUUUCCGGUCAUAGAAAAAUGAUGAUGCAUUCUAUGGCUAUUGUACAUGAGGAAACAUUAAUAGGCAAUGCAUCUUGCUGUAAAACUAGUAGCUGUACAAUGCUCAAAGUUGCCCACAGUGCACGCUUUGCCGCAACAAAUAUUUGACAAAUUGACUCGUGAGCAUGAAUCUGUUCAAACUUUGUACUCAUCCAUUCCAAAUUGUAAAUCAUUCCAAAAAUCUUGAAGAGUCAAAGUAUCUCAAGUUUGACCAAAUUUAUAUGAUAAUAUAAUAACAUUAAUGAUGUCAUCUAAAUAUCAUUAGAUUCUUCAUCAAUUAUAUUUUCAUGGUAUACCUAUUUGAUGUCAUAAAUCUUUAAAAUUUUCUCUAUAAUUUUGGUCAAACUUGAGAUGCUUUAACUCUCUAAGAUUCUUGGAAUGACUUACAAUUUGGGAUGGAGGGAGUAAGUUGUAACCUUGAUUCCUGAUAUGUGUUGUUGAUCAAGCAUCUUCGUCACCGUCUCCUCCAGCUUUGUUCCCGGUUUGCCGCCGGCCAGCGCCCCAACGACCGAGCAGCCCUCGGUAGUCGACGUCUCGGAGGCGCAGCAGCAAGUACAAAACAAUUCCCGAGAUGAACCCCAGUGCGGCGCUCGAGCCCGUGAGCGACACGCCGGCGCAGAUGAGCAUGACGAAGGACUCCUCCUUCGUGCCCAUGUCGCGCGACGCCAUGGCGAGCUCGACCCCAGAGAAGAGCAGCAUGACGCCCAGUAUCCCGAUGGGGAACUGCCCGAGGAUCGUCACGAACGAGUUGCCGAACACGAGGCCGAGCGCCAGCUUGCCGAUGGCCAGGAACACCACGGACGCUCCGCUCCGGCCGCCGAAACGGUACUGCCCCGCCAGUCCGCCCGCGCCGUGGCAGCACGGCAUGGCGCCGAACCAGCAGCCGACGAAGUUCAUGAGGCCGACGCUCACCGACACCCUCGCCGGGGAGAGCUCGGCCCGUUCGGGGAACAGGUCCGACGAGAGCUUGCACACGGCGAUCACCGAGUUCAGCACGGACAGCGGGAGCUGCGGCACCGCGCCUUCCCAGAACCCGAUCUUGAAAUCGUCCCAGGUGAUCUUGACGAUCCGCAGCGGCGCCGGCCCAAAACGAAGGCCCUGCACAAUCGACGGGUCACGCACGAAGCAGAGCAGCAGGCCGAGCGCGAACACGAUGAGCGCCGCCGGGACGCGGCUGCAGGAGCGGCGGCGGCGAAUCGUGCCGUCGCUGGAGACUUCCUCGUCGUCGCCGGAGCCGGUGGCGAGGAUGAUGAACAGCAGCGCCGCGAGCGCGAGGACCAGGCCGUCGAGGCCGAGGAGCGGGCGCGCCACGGCGGUGGAGGCAGAGGACGAGUGGGAGAAGUCCUGGACGUAGCGUAUGUACUUGACGGCGGUGAAGGCGAAGGAGAGCCCCUGCGAGAGCUGGAUGCCGCGCACGACGGGGAGCGGGAGGAGGCGGUAGAGGCAGGUCAUGAGGCCCGUAGCGCCGAGGAAGAGCAGGACGGCGGCGACCGACAGCCCCGCGGACAUGAUCUGCGGGAUGGUGAGGUGCGCCGAGGAGAGCGCAACAGCGGCGAUGGACUUCAUGGGCUGCACGGGCAUCGGGAUGCCGAAGAGCAGGCCCGUGGAGAAGUUGUAGAGCGCGGUGAAGAUGAGCGUGGUGCCGAGGUCGAGGUGCGACGCCAGCGACAGCGCGAGCACGAUGGGGAUGUAGGUGCCCAGGUCGCCCACCGCGCCGCCCAGCUCGGACCAGACGGAGGUCUUGAGAUGGACGGAGGAGGGGAGGAACCCGAGGCGGCGUCCGCUGCCCUCGGGGGGGAGGAGCGGGUCGCCGGCGGCGGACGCCAUGGGGGUGGGCGAGCGGCAACGACUUUCUCUGGAUGUUUUCUGGUGGAUUUGGGCUUACCUUGCACGUUUCUGACGGGAGAUGUCCCGGUGGCUCCACUGAGCUGAUAAAUAUAUGCGCGGGUGCUGUUUCCAUCGAGAAUUUAACACGAAGAUGCGAUCUAUAUGCUUUUUUUCAUACGAGGGUUUAAAUUUUAGCAUAUUUAUAUCGGAUGUUCGGAUGCUAAUUAGGAGUAUUAAACAUAGUCUAAUUACAAAAAUAAUUGCACAGAUGGAGUCUAAGGGGCGUUUGCUUCCACUGACUUAUUUUUAGCACGUGUCACAUCGAAUGUUUAGAUACUAAUUAGGAGUAUUAAACGUAGACUAUUUAGAAAACCCAUUACAUAAGUGGAGGCUAAACGGCGAGACGAAUCUAUUAAGCCUAAUUAAUCCAUCAUUAGCAAAUGUUUACUGUAGCAACACAUUGUCAAAUGAUAGACUAAUUAGGCUUAAUAGAUUCGUCUCGCCGUUUAGCCUCCACUUAUGUAAUGGGUUUUGUAAAUAGUCUACGUUUAAUACUCCUAAUUAGUAUCUAAACAUUCGAUGUGACGGAUGCUAAAAAUAAGUCAGUGGAAGCAAACGGGCCCUAAUUCGCGAGACGAAUCUAUUAAGGCUAAUUAAUCCAUCAUUAGCAAAUGAUUAUUGUAGCACCACAUUGUCAAAUCAUGAGCUAAUUAGGCUUAAUAGAUUCGCCUCGCGAAUUAGACUCUAUCUGUGCAAUUAGUUUUAUAAUUAGACUAUGUUUAAUACUCCUAAUUAGUAUCAAACAUCCAAUGUAACAGGUGCUAAAGUUUAACACAAACACCCCUUUAAUAUCAUGAUGGUGAUGUGCUUGGCACUACGGAGUAGUAUGUUAAAUAAUUGGAGCUUUCAUUCUGUUUUUAGAAUGUAGUCCGAAUUGGUUCAUGUAUGGGAUUUCAGUUGAACUCUUGAAGGGUGAAGGAUAGAUAGUUAUACUUAAAAAAGAUGAAAGCCAGAAUCAUCAAGAUCAUAUUAGCUGUUUGUUUUGAAAGUAUUUUCAUUGCCAUUAACACAUAUCUUAAGCCAUUUCCAGUCCUUGGUGUUUGAUUUGAAAUGUACAAUCCUUAAUUUUGAUGCAGUGUUCAACAGACUAGAAACAAUUUUAUGAGAACCUUUUCUGAAAUGCACGAUCCCUAUUUUUUAUGUGCAUUUCCAAAUUUGAAUUCUUUUGUGUUAUUUUAAGUAACUUUUGGGACGGUGCAAUAUUUUCUGUUGGGAGUCUAUUUAGCUGUCGACAGAUUUUUAGAGUAAAAUCUGUCAAAUUUUAUUAUGUUGCAAUGUUAUUUUCUAAUAUGAUUGAAACAUGAAGUACUAUGCAACAUGCCAGAACAUAGUAAAUAGCAUAUGUAACAUUAGGAAAAUCUGCCACAUUUCCUCCCCUGAAAUCACGAAAUAUUUUAAAAUAUUAAAGAAUAAUGUUUGCAAUAUCAGAUUUGAAUGUCAGAAAAUUCGACAGAUUUUCUUCUAAAAAUCUGCUUCCGGACCCAUGGUGAACAACUGAAGUUGCGCCCAACUGUAUAUCCUGUGACAUCGAAUUCUGUUUCGUCCGGAGGGGCGGACCAUCUGCCAUCGUCGUUGGACAACACUGGCUGCAACGUGGACGUGUCAAGUGGCUUUUCAAGCGACGAGGGGAGAGGGUCAUCUGAUAUUUUCCCAUCCGGGCCCAUCCUGAGCUUGCGUAGUCGCUCGGACACCCACGUGUUGGGUGACAACGUGACUUGCGUGGUCGCACGAUGGACCUUUUAGAAAAUGAUUGAGACACUAGUGAGGCUGAAACCUUUUUUACAAGCUGUCACCCCAAACUCACCUCAGUCCAUCCUCUCUUUCCUUGAUAGUUUGAGCAGCGGUAUCCGUCUUUAGCGUCGAAUUCCCUUGCCCCGUAUGUAAACGACCGUAUGACGGAAUUUAUUCACCGGAUUUAUCAAUCGGAUUCCUCUCUGCAACCUGCAUAUAGGUAAGUAAUUUCUCCAAAAGUUUCUUUUAAAAACCGAUCCUCCAAAAGCUUUGAUACAUUAGCCUCCAGAGACCGGGACUGCCUGGCUGCCACCUUCACUGCGGUGCGGGCCAGGAUUUUGUUGACUGUUUGACAUCGCGUCCAAAUCCCGACCGCUAACCGCGCGCACCAACCGUUGAUCCUCCCGAAAACCCAACACGCCCGAUGCGGCCAUGCCGCGCUACCUCUACUUCCGCCCCGCCGCAGGCCAUGCCCGCCCCCACCGCCACCCCCUCCUCGCCCACCUCGACGCCUGCGCCUCGCGGGCCCACCUCGCGGAGCUCCACGGCCGCCUCAUCCGCGCCCACCUCGCCCCGGACCCCGCCGUGGCCGGCCGGCUCGUCGCCCUCCUCGCGUCCCCGGCCCCGGGCCACGACAUGCGCUGCGCGCGCAGGGUGUUCGACGGGAUGUCCCGGCCGAACGCGCCCGCGUGGAACUCCAUGAUCAGAGGGUACACCAGCCGCGGCGCGCCUGGGGACGCGCUGGCGACGUUAAGGAACAUGGUUCGGAGGGGCGUCGUGCCUGACAGCUACACCAUGGCCGCGGCCGUGACCGCGAGUGCUGCUGGUGAUGGCUGGAAGUGGGAGUGGCGGGCGACCGGGGACGCGGUCCAUGCGAUGGUCCGGAAGAUUGGGUGCGCGGCGGACCUGUACGUCAUGUCAGGCCUGGUUAAUCUAUACGGCACUUUUAGAAGUGCUGAGGAUGCAAGGAAGGUUUUUGAGGAAAUGCGGGAGAGGGAUGUGGUGUCUUGGACGUCCAUGAUCUCAGCUUUUGCACAGCGUGGCAUGUGGGAUGAUGCGUUGAGGUUUCUAUCUGAGAUGCAGGCAGACGGGAUUUUUCCUAACAAAGUCACGAUUAUAAGCUUGUUGUCUGCUUGUGGGCAUGGGCAGGCUGUUGACAGAGGCCGGUGGGUGUAUGAUCAGCUUAGUGAAUAUGGAAUUGAGGCUGAUGUGGAUAUAGGAAAUGCACUCAUAAGCAUGUAUAUGAAAUGCGGGUGCAUGUCUGAUGCUUUGGAAGCAUUUAAGGUCAUGCCUUCAAGAAAUACUAAAUCAUGGAACACCCUGAUCGAUGGGUUUGUGCAAAAUCAGAAGCAUAAAGAAGCACUGACAAUGUUUGAGGAGAUGUUAUCGAAUGACUUUAAUCCUGAUGCCGUAACACUUGUUAGUGUUUUAUCAGCCUGCACUCAGCUUGGUGAUCUUCAGCAAGGGAGGAAUCUCCACAGUUACAUAAAAAGUCGUAGGAUUAGUUGUGACACCAUCCUUACGAAUUCUUUGAUUAACAUGUAUGCCAAAUGUGGCGAUAUGGUAGCAGCAGAAGUGGUUUUCCAGGCUAUGAAACAGAGGGAUGUUGUUUCAUGGACAACUAUGGUUUGCGGUUAUGUGCAGGGACGGCAAUUUACAGCGGCAUUCAUCUUUUUUGAAGAGAUGAAGGCUGCAGGAAUUGUAGCAAGUGAAAUGGCACUGGUUAGUCUACUUUCUGCUUGUUCACAGCUUGGGGCACUUGAUAAAGGAAGGGAGAUACACGCUUAUAUAGAAGAAAAGAACAUCAAAAGAGAUGUAUUCCUAGAAAGUGCCCUGGUGGAUAUGUAUGCAAAAUGCGGCUGCAUCAACAUGGCUGCUGAAAUAUUUAGCAAAAUGCAGUAUAAGCAAACCCUCACAUGGAAUUCUAUGAUCGGAGGCCUUGCAAGCAAUGGACAUGGGAAAGAAGCAGUCCAGCUCUUUGACCAAAUGCUAAAGUUUGGAGAUCCCAAACCUGAUGGUAUUACUUUCAAGACAGUCCUUGGUGCCUGUGCUCAUGUGGGAAUGGUUAGUGAGGGACUCCGUUACUUCCAUUCCAUGUCGACCUCUGGUAUUGCCCCUGAUAUUGAGCACUAUGGUUGCAUAGUUGACCUCCUAAGCAGAGCUGGGCUACUAGAAGAAGCAUUUGAGUUCAUCAUGAAGAUGCCAAUGGAGCCUAAUCCUGUAAUUUGGGGAUCACUUCUUUCAGCUUGUAGAUUUCAUCAGAAAAUAGAUUUAGUGAGGAGAGUCGGGCAACACAUAAUUAAGUUAGCUCCUAAUGAUGUGGGAACACAUGUGCUGAUUGCAAACUUACAUGCUGAAGGUGGUCAGUGGGAUGAUGUGCAGCAAAUAAGAGAGCAGAUGGGAAAGAGGGGCAUAGAGAAGUCACCUGGUCAUAGCUCCAUCCAAGUCUAAAUCUUCUUGAUGUAGUUUAACGUGAUACGUGAUCUGCCUAUAGUACACGAGGCUGACAGGAGCAAUGCCAACGAGUACAGUUUCUGUUUUUACAAGAAAUUAGGCAUCACAUGUCAAUUUCCAUUAACCUGUGUACAUGUGAUUAAUUAUUGUAUUAUUUUUGGGGUAUAAACAGUCAACACUACCUUAACCAUUUUGUGUGACGCCUCUUUUAAUAGCUAGAUACUCACACUUGGCAGUGGUGCAAGCUCAGCUAAAUUUGUCUAUGGUAGCAUUGGAUAAUGUUCAUGCACACAAUUGAAGCUGUGACAAGAACAGAAGACAUGUAAAAUAUACUCAUUUCAUAUUUCCAUAUGAAAUUUAGAACUUACCUGCUGUUCAGUUCAUAGAUUAAUCAACAUAGUUUUUUUAAUGAACUAUCUUCUCUAUGUUUGAGUUAUGCUCAUAUUAUUGAAGAAUCAUGCUUUGUAGCUAAUUCUUUGUACAUUGAUUUGCUAAGACUGUCCGAUUAUCUUGUUCCAAAUAAAUAACAAUUUGCAUUUUUCAACUAUUGCACUGUUCAUGCCGUCAACAUUCCUACAUUCUCCGAUCUUACAAGUCCAAGAGGCAAAACUGCAACCAGCCCUUCGCUGCACAUUGAAGUAAGAUAUUUACGCUUUUUUUAUAUCAAUUUCCAGUUUGUUGAUAUUGCCUAAGAAACGCAAGUCAGUAUCCAGAUUAUCCAUUUGGGGAUUGAAUUCUCAGUUUUCAUAUGGCUGGAAAAGACAGUUCUUCUCUUUUAGAGGGAGAAUGAAGACAGGUAACUCUCAGAAGGCUGACAUUAAAGGCCAAGCUCCAUCAAAAGGUAUGCGCAAAUUAACCUCACAUCUUUUCUGCAAGAUAUUAACUGUUUAAUAGUGAAGAAAUUAAAAAUAAAUGAACCCCACUAAUCAUGCAUACUGAACAAAUGACACAUUGAGGUUUUUUUUUCUCGAACUACGCAGGAGAGCUGCGUGUCAUUUCAUUAAGAAGGAAAAGCACGGAGGGACUGGUUAGAGCCGGACCCAAGUACAGGACUCACACCACACACACACACAUAACAAAAGCUCACAGGCUUGCCACAGGGAGCUUAUCACCAAAACGACCUAGCUAAACACCACAGCCUAAACAGCUCUGGAAAGCGACCAAGCAAGGAGCUCUUGAAGUUUAGAAGCUCCUGUCAUCCCCCACAGAUUACAUUCAUCAGCUACAGACCGGAGCAAAACUGGAAUGCUAGGCCUUGCUUGAUCAAACACACAAGAAUUUCUAUGUUUCCAGAUUUCCCAAGCCACCAAGAUGAUUAGGGAAUUCAACCCCUUACUCAAAUUCUUAGGAACAAGUCUAAGAGCUUUCUUCCACCAACUGGAAAAUCUGAAAUCUGUUGUGGGCACUAGAGCAGACAGAUGCAGAGACUGAAAAAUUGAGAACCAAAUCUGCCUGGAGAAGACACAGCCGACCAGAAGAUGCUGCAUAGUCUUCUCCUGGUCACAAAAAGGGCAGGCAUCCGGGUGGGGCAGGCCUCUUUUAGCUAGGCGAUCCGAUGUCCAACAAUGGUUGUUAAAUGCUAGCCAGAUAAAGAAUUUGCAGCGAAGGGGGGCCCAAUUCUUCCAAAUCCUCUUCCAAGGCGCGAAUUUGAUUGUCCCAACAAAGAAUGCAGCAUAAGCCGACUUGCUAGUGUACACUCCACAUUGGGUCAGUUUCCACCUGUACUGAUCAGGUACUUCAUGUUGCAGAACCAUGCCGUCCACUAGAUCCCAAAUCUGAAGAUACUCAAUGAGAACUUGGUCAGUUAGGCCACCUUUGAUAUCAAGGACCCAUCUCCUAUUAAUGAGAGCUUCUGCUACUGUCCUUCUUCUGACCGAUCUUUUGGGGAUUUUUUGUAUCUGGGGCUAACUUGGCAAUAGUUCUACCAUUCAGCCACCUGUCCUCCCAAAAAAGGAUUGUCUCCCCAUUAUCUACGAAUCUACUGCCAUGUUGAACAAAGCUUGAGCAUUUCGGGGAACUUGAACUUGAAAACCAGCCCAAGGCUGAGUAGGGUCAGUUUUCUGAGCCCACAGCCAACAGAUCCUCAGGGCCAAGCCCAAAGUUUCCAGAUUAUGAAUCCCCAAUCCACCAUACUCAAGUGGUCUCUGGACCCUUUCCCAAGAAACAAGGCAGUUGCCUCCAUUAGCCUGUUCUUGUCCUUUCCACAAGAAGCCCCUUCUUUUAUCCACAGCCUUGAUAACCCAUUUAGGGAGGUCCAAGACUAUCAUCAAAUAGAUAGGAGAGGCUGUCAUCACCACCCGUACCAUGACCAAGCGACCAGCCCUAUUCAUCAGAGAGGCCUUCCACCCUGGUAGGUGAUCUGCCACUUUUUAUCUAUUAAAGGCAACAACACCUCUUUCGUAGGCUUAUGGAUUGUAAGAGGCAGACCAAGGUAGGUGCAAGAGAACUCCUUGACAGCACAGGCCAACACAUCUGCAGUGAGGAGCAUCUCAGCAUCGGAACAGUGAAUGGGAGAGACUGAGCUCUUAGUGAGAUUUGUAUGCAGACCAGAAGCAUGACCAAACAAAUCAAGGAUGGUUUUGAAGACUCGCAGGUCCAUCAUAGAAGGCCGCAAGAAAACCACUGCAUCAUCCGCAUAGAAGGAAAUCUGAUGUCGGGCAUGCUGUAUAGCGAGCGGUUGCAGCAUCUGUUCUCUAGUUGCAUAUUCCACCAGAGAAUUCAGGACAUCCAUAACCAGGAUAAAUAGCAUGGGGGAGAGAGGGUCACCCUGUCGAAGCCCACGACGAUGAACAAUUGACCUACUCGGUUCACCAUUUACUAGGACUUGGGUAGAAGAGGUGGACAGGAUCAGGCAGAGAAGGUCACGCCACCGCUGUCCAAACCCCACGUCGCAGAAUCUCCAGAAGGAAGGACCAAGAAACUGAGUCGAAAGCUUUGGAGAUGUCCAACUUGAGUAAAAUAUGAGCCUCUUUUUUCCUGUGCAAGGACUUCACUAUUUGCUGGACAAGGAGAAAAUUGUCGUGAAUGUUUCUUUCCCUAACAAAAGCACUUUGAUUUGUGGCGACCAAUGAGGGCAGCUGAGGUGCCAGUCGGUUUGCCAUCACUUUUGUCAACAAUUUGACACUGUGAAUCAAGCUUAUAGGCCGGAAGUCCUUGACUUGGGUGGCAUCCAAUUUCUUGGGGAGGAGGGAAAUGAAGGAAGUAUUGAGUAAUCUGAAUUUGAACACACGUCCCUGAUGAAUGGCUGCAAAAGCCUGCAGUAGGUCCCCUUUGAUAAUGCUCCAACAAGACUUAUAAAAACGGCCUGUAAAACCAUCCGGCCCCAGGGCCUUAUCCAAUGGCAUAUCUUUGAUUAUUUCCCAGACUUCUUCCUCACUAAAAGGAGCAUCCAGGGAAGAUAGAUCAUGCUGUUGGACACCUAUUUCAGCAAGAUCAAUUGUGUAGUCUCGUUCCUCUGCUGUCCCCAGAACAUUCUCGAAAAAUUCCAGCACUGCCUCCUGUUUUUCCUCCCGUGUUACAGCUAACUGAUCACCAACUUGUAAUUUUGCAAUGAAGUUCUUCUUUCUAUAUCUUGCCUGUUGAUGGAAAAAGGAAGUGUUUGUGUCUCCUUCACGGAGAUAGAGGAUUCUUGAGCGCAGCCGGGUGAUGGUUCGCUCAAAGGAAGCCAAACCGAGGCAAUGAAGCUUAAGCUUUUUCCUCAGCCACUCUUCACUUGAAGAGAGCUCCUGAGAGUCCCUUGCAAUUUCUAGCUGGUGCAGAAUCUCUUUUGCCAUUUCUAUCUGAAGCUUGAUAUUUCCAAUCUUUCUUUGGCCCCAUUUUUGUAAACCCCUACUGAGGCGUUGCAAUUUGAGAAAAAGCCGCUCAACUGCACAGUUAGAUUGCACCGGAGCAUCCCAAACAGCCUGAAAGAAACCGGGCACCUUGGUCCAGAAGCUCUCAAAAUGAAAGCGCCAUUUUCCACUCUUUUGGAUUUUCAACCCAAGAAUGAGAGGGCAGUGGUCAGAAACUGUGGAUGCUGCACUUUGCAAAACUGAAUCAGGAAAGAUACCUUCCCAUCCCAAGCAACAAAAAGCCCGAUCCAACCUGACAAGUGUGGGAGAUGUACGCUCAUUCAACCAAGUGUAUUUGCGUCCCAAAAGGGGGAUUUCUUUGACCUCAACAUCAUCCAAAAAGCGCCAGAAUCUACCCAUCAUUGCUCUGUCAAGAUUGGCAUUCUUCUUAUCAGCUGCCUGGUAAAUCAGAUUAAAAUCUCCUGCCACUAACCAUGGCCCAUUGCACAUUCCCCGAACAUUCCGAAGCUCCUGCAGGAAUAGAACUUUCUCCUCAUCUUCCUGUGGCCCAUGCACGCCAGUAAACCACCAAUUUCAGCCUUCUUGCUCUGAAAAAAGAACCAAGACUGAAUAUGUCUCGACCUGAGUAGCAAUUGCUUGACAACUGCUACUCUUCCAAGCAAUCAGAACACCAAGAGCCAUUUCGAAUUUUCCCCAAAACCUUUGGAAUUUCCAAACCCAUGGACACGACAGAGUACAAGUUUAACAUUUGCAACAGCUCCGGAACAAUUACACUAAGAUAUGUACUAUUCUUUUUUUGUUAUGUCAAAACUGUAUCAUGUGAUUCUGAAUGACAGGCCAGACUGCUCAUCUACCGUGGUGGAUCACAGAUUCCACUAUUCCAGGCAAACCGAUCCUAGAAAAGAGUCCCAAUUUCAAAUCCACACGGGACACAUCUCAAAUCAGCUGGAGUUACCACAUGCCUUGGAUAAUGUUCAUGCACUGAAGUUGUGACAGGAAGAAAACUACUUCCAACACCUAAGGCUUGCAUACUGAAUUAUAGUUGAAGAACAGGUGCGUAACAUUUCCUCAAUUUAGUAUUUGCAUAUGGCCUGAUGGCCAUAUGUGGCUUAGAACUUCCCGGUUGUUAAGUACUUAGGCAAGGAACAAGAACAAUCAGACCUGUGAGUGUUUUCUAGUUUUUUUUUAAUUGUGUUUGAGUCAUACAUAGAUUAGUGAAGAAUCACGUUGAAUCCCUAAUCAUUAGUAGUUUUGAUUUGUUAGUUUCAUCUGUUGGAAGUAAAUAAUAGUUUUCCUUCCUUAUUUACUUCUUCCAUUCUGCAGGCUGCCCAGAACAAGUUCAAUAAUUAGGAUGCAGCCAUUAGAGACAAAGCUACAAUUAGCCCUUUGUGUACUUACACACGUGGUGUUCUUCUUCCCUCCAAGCUUCCCCUGCCGUAAGAUAGUCUCUGAAAUUUCAAUUUUGUUAUCAGUUUCCAAGUUGCUGAUACUUUGGAUAUCCCUAAGUUUCUAGUAGAAUGGAAACAGGUACUCACUUUUCAGCAUUCUUUACUGUCAUACAACAGGACUCGUAGUAAAGGCUGCUGGAAAGUGAGUAAUUGUUUCAGUUUUUCCAGGAACUUGGGAAUACUCAAACAUCAGUACAUGCCAGAAGACAAAUCUAGCAUUUGAAAAUUCUCUGGAAAUUUGUGAUCAGAAGUCAUCUGUUUUAGAUGAUGAAAUGGUCCUAGCUGAAAGACAACCAUGUACUUCAUGGUGGCCAUUCAUCUGCCAACUGCCAUGGUGGAUCUGAGGUGAAGCAGGCCCGGAAAAGUGUCGCAAGUAAACAGGUGGUGCUACUGAAUAAUGCCUGCACUGCAUGCUGCUACCGAAUCUCAGUCUAUGAGGAACACAGCGUUAGCUGCACAAUCAGCCGAUGCUACUUCUGUUCUUCACCCCAUGUAGCAGUCUGCCUCAACCCAUUGGUGCUGUGGAUAGUCACAGUAAGUUAUAUGUAUCCUUUACUUGUGAUGUGAAGAAGUUGCUCAACGAGGUUAGGAGCAAGGUACGAUCGCUAGCAAACGAGUUCUUGGCUUCUAGUUCUACUGUUCUACAUGACUAUGCUGUUAGUACCCUGAUUGCUGUUAUGAUGCCGCACAGCUCAAUUCGUUGAAUGCUCAUGUCACUAUGUCAGAGGCCUUGCCUGUUGCGUCAAUUUUAGGGCCGUUCGGUUGUUUUGCUGCUUUGCCUGGCCUUGCCUUGCCAGGCGAGCGAAUUCUUGCCGGCGCAAGCGAGCCGGAUUGGCUCUCCCGCAUUGGCAAGGUGAAACCUUGCUAGCACAGACCCCGAGAUAAACUAGCUGUUCUUCCAAACGCGCAGCCCUCGUCCCUAUCCUUGCUUAGCAAGGCUAAAUAGUACCCAGCAAUGGUUCCAAACGGCCCGAGAAUACUGUGGCAUCUUUCCAAUCUGGGCAGCGAUUGUGCAAGUCAAUUAUCGUAAUGAGAAUGACCAGUUUCCCCGGACCACAUGAAUGUCCCCAGCAUGAUGUGCGUCAGGCUUAACGCACUAUAGUCAGCAAUCUAUGUUUUCUUCGUAAAUUUGAGUAGCAAAAGUUGGGUUGAACCAUUAAGAAACAAGGAAACAAGUAGUGAUAACUUUGAACGGGAAAAAAAUUAUGGCCCAUGCAGGUCUCGAACCUGCGACCUUCGCGUUAUUAGCACGACGCUCUAACCAACUGAGCUAAUAGGCCGUUUUGAUACCUCGGAACAACAAUAAAUAUAAGUACCUUUUUAUAAUUGUAUGCACGUAGAAUCAGAAACUAUCAACGCUGCACGCCCGCUUGAGACUUGAGAGUGCUGGAUCCAACGAAUGCGAGGUCCACCGUAGCUCAGUCCUGGUCUCCUGGACCGUCUCUUGUUUGCUGCUUCGUGAUCGCCCAGCCGUGUAGGGCCAUGCCCAAAUUAUUUCCAAACCCGUCGAUGCUAAAUUUAUCCAUCCGACGCUCUCGCCGGCUCUUCUUGGCAACCCACUCCCUUCACGCCACGGUUAAACGCCCGGGCGGCGGAUACUAAUCCGGAGAGCUGGAGACUUGGAGAGGCAACAAAGCAAUCGCGCAUGUGCCGCAGAUGCCCAAAUGCGCGCUACACGGACGCGAUCGAUCGAUCCGGACCGCCCGGCCGGCGGAUCGCCUGCCCGUGCCGUGGUCCGUCCCCCCUGCUCUUGUACAUGGUCUGGUGUGUGAGGGUUUGUGUACUUGUGUCGAGUCGAUCACCGAGUAUCUCGGGUCUCUAGUUAAACGAGCAAUUUGUCAUGGACAUGCUUCGGGAUUUCAGGCCCCGGUCGCGGUCGGUACCCCCAAUUCCCCAAAUCAGAGAAACCAUGCAUGCCAUCAACUACGCGAAACAUACUGAUCUUGCGUGUGAUUUUACAAGGGAAUGUCUAUAUAUCACAUGGGUGAAAUUGAGACUCUCCUCGCUCGUUUUUUUGAGCCAUCAGAUCAUCAUCCAACGACUCACCUUCAUCUUCCACCUCCCGCCGGCUGUGCUUCUUCGCUGCCCGUCGUCCCCUCGUGCCUCUACCCGUCUAGCACGGGUGGGCAAAGGUCCUGCCAGAGCUUCGUGCGCGGCUGGAGUGCGCGGCCGCCUUCUUGCCCCUCCCGUCACCGCUUCCCGUCGUCGUCGUCCCCCCCCCCCCUCCUGCCCUAGCACCACCCAACCGCCCGCCACCACCGUCCUCGCCGGUGGCGCCCCCGCCGCCAUGCCUCACCGUCCCACGCCCGCCACCUCCGCCGGGCCGGCCUAUUGUCGCUGGCUUUCCCUCUAGGCCGCUGAUAAGCACCCACCCCGGAAACCUUGAACCCUUAAUCCUGGAAACCUCGAACCUCUAACCCUGGAAACCCCGAACCCUGACGCCCCUAAUCUCGUCGGAAUUUGGUCGGAGUCGGAGAAGGAAGGGAAAAUAGAGUGCAUAUCGGAAAAGAAAAAAUUGGAUGAGGAAGAGCUCUGUUUCACCCGGAUGAGCUACAGCCCUUCCUUUUUAGAAUGGCCACUAGGCACGGCUGGCAAGAGGGGUUUGACGCCACUUACGCGCACCGUGUGCGAUUUGCGAUCCGUGCCGGGGAGAAGCCGUGCGCGUGUGCGGCCUCGACCAUGUGCGCAGCGCCACCACUUCUCCUGCUUGGCUUGGCUGUCCUAUUGAAACAAGCCGGCCGGCCGGAUACCUCCCGCCUGCGCGCAGCCUCCCAAACGAGAGACACCGGAGGUGGUGCCGGUGCGCAUCUCCACGGAUCCCCGAUUUGUUUAACCAGCGUAGUGGUUGCGGUCGCAAGGCUACAAGCGCUACUGUACAUCCCGGAGCUUUUCGCGGAGCUGCCAGUGUGUUCCGCAUUGAGAAGAAAACCAGCUGCUGACCUCUAGUUUAUUUGUACUCGUAACAGAGCAACAACGGUCAUCGUCGAGGGAGCGGUUUGGCGUGUAGCGUGUCCACCCAUCUUGUGCUUGUGCGGAUCAAGGCCUGAACAAGAAAGAGUACUCUAAGGCGGAAUCGAUGGCGGUGAUUUGGCAGGGACAGUUUGCAUUGUUCAGAUGGCUACUACUGGUUUUAAAAUUCAAUCUGACAAAAGGGCGUGGCAGAGGGUGAGAGCGCCUGAAGUUGUGCAACGAAUUUAGUAAAGAGUGAUGCACUCACUAGUCACUAUAUACUGCAAAUGCAUACUAGUGCUUUUCUUCUUCUUUUUUUUUGAAAGAUUACUAGUGCUUUUCUGAUGGAUGAGGAUCGCGUAGAAGCAUUGGCGGUUGCUGGUGUCAGCAGCUGAGAAAUUGCCGCUGGUGCCUUGCCGUGCUCCGUGUCUCGCCAGGCCACGCAGGCAGAGACGGGACGAGGAUGCUGACGGCCAUUCGGUCUAUCCGACUAGCACAAUACGUCAAUACUACGCCAGUGUAGUUUCUAGAGUUUCUACGACUGCAAUGGCAUUUUCCAUGGACGCUUUCAGUCUCGGUGCCGUUUUAUUCAACUAUGACGGCAUCGCUAACAGAAUUUCAUGUCAUUUCAGAUUCCUCAGUCUGCCUGCCAGGCCAUUUACGAUCGAUUUUCACCGGACCGGCCCCUGCCGCGAUUUUACAGUAACCCCCGCUAUUCUUACCAAUUUACAGUAGCUGCCAUGUCCUAGCUAGCUAGCUGCUGCAGCUGAUAUUGCUCUCCUCGCUGCCGCUGCUGCCGUCCGCGUUGCUGUCACUGUGGUUGUUCUCCUCCGCCCGCCACGCGGACGCCGAGAAGAGCGGCCGCCCGUGCCACCCCAGCGUCAGGCACCCGUCGGCCUCCUCCACGCAGUGGCCCUCCCCGGAGAAGAGCCCCACCAGCAUCCUCGCCUGCCGCAGUGCGUUGGCCCCCAGCGGCACGCCGGCCAGGCCCGCGCGCCCCAGCCUGUCCCGCCACCGCCGCAGCGGCUCGUGCCGCUCCCUGCGCUCCGCGCCCUCGCCGCACACGAUGUCGCAUAUCUCGCGCUCCAGGUACGCCUCGGCCGCCGCGUCGCCCGCGCCGCCGCUCGCCGCGUCCAGGGAGUCGAACACCGCCGAGUAGUAGAAGAGCGCCUCCGUGAACCGGUCCAGGAACCCCGGCUUAUUGUGGUCCGCCUCCUGCUCCACCACCGUGAACACCCUGGGGCGCAUGGACGACACGCAGUCGAGGACGGCGUCGAUGGGCGCCCGGGCGUCGUCGGCCGCCGCGGACGGGUCGGCGACGAGGCGGUGGAGCUGGAGCACGGAGUUGACGGCGACGGCCUCGCCCUGCGACACCUGCAGCAUCCACGGGCGGAUCUCGUCGAGGCGGUUGGCGGCCACGCCGCGGAAGGAGAAGUGGACGCGCACGGAGCGCGCCAGGUCGGCGAGGCGGACGCCGACGUCGCGGAGGUCGUCGCGGCCGGGCGGGGAGGGCGGGCCAAUGCCGGUGAGGCGGAGGAACGGCGGCCCGCCGGGGCGGAGCGCCAGGGCCUGGAUCAGCGCGGGCCACUGGAGGCCCUGCAUGAGGUUGAAGUCGAUGAUGUGGACGUGCUUGCAGCCCUGGACGGCCUCCAGGAUGGCCUGGUUGGCCGUGAAGUGCGCGAACUUGAGGUAGGGCCCCGCCUCGUAGAAGUGGUGGUAGAGGAAGGCGUGGUCGGCGUCGGCGUCGGCGGCGGCGGGCUGGGGCGGAGGUGGCGACGGCGUGGGAGGGAACAGCCUCCGGGACAGCGCGGCGGUGAAGUGGACGGCGACGCGGCCGAUGCCGGAGCCCGGCGAGACGGCGGCGAGAGCGGCGUGCGCGUCGGCCAGGUGCGCGGACGCGCCCGCGUGGUCCCCGGCCUCGACGGCGCCGGCGCAGCUCAUGAGGAGGUGCACCAGGCGGAUGCCCGCGGCCUCCUCCUCCUCCCGCCGCAUCGCCGCCAGCGCCGCGGCGAAAUCGGGCAGCACCGCGGGCAUCGCCGCGUGCAUGUCCGCCGCCGCGUCCGCGUAGUACGCCACCCCGGCGGCGUCGGGCACCACGGUGGGCAGCGGCGGCAGGGAGACGUCGAGCCCCGGCUCCGCGGGCCACUGGAAGGGGAACGCGCCGCCCAUGGCCAUGGGUCGGUGGUGGGGGAGGCGGCUCGGUGGCGUGGGCGGUGACGCGGUCAGUAGAGUGACGGCGUCGCGCUUGGCGGGCGGUGAGUGAUGUGGAGGGGACUGAGGAGACGGGCGGGCGGGUCGCGGGGGGUUAAGGUGCGGGCAGGUGACGUCGGAAAGGCACGGGGAGGUCGGUUACACGUGGAGAGGCGGGCACGAGCACGGGGCGGGCGGGGACACGUAGGCCUCGGGAAGGAUUCUGAGGCCGGCGAGCGGACCGAGGCGCCGUGGGGGCGGCCUGCUCCUUCUGUCAAUUCCUGUUUCCUGAUCUUGUCUGCGGGGAUCUCAUCUCGGAGUGUGCAAUCUUGUAACCGCACCCAAAUUUUACUCGGAGUACUGUAUGAAGGCAGUAAGACUAGAGAGACUACCGCGCAACCCGUAGGAAGUUUCCUCACUGUCGCUGUACAAACCUUCCUCUCACGUCUUCAACUCGAGAAAGUAAAACAUAAGUUCCACGCACGCGUCGGAUCUUCGCACAGGAAAAUGCUUCGCACACGAUCUAUCAGUAGACCGUAGAGUUGAACACAUAAAUUUUAACGGCUCGUAUUUGUAUAAGCUUUGUGCUUUUAUGAUGGUAUAAAUAUAUAGUAAGGGAAAUUCAAGUAUUUUAUAACCCGCCAACACAUGAAUUCUUUCAUGUACGAGUACCUUGUUAAGCUAGUUUAUUUAUAGAGUGCUAGUUUAUUUGUAGAGUCAAUUUCACCUUAGAUUCUUAAACUAUUCCUGAGAUCUCAUCUAGGUUCAUGGUCUUUUAAAAUGGCCAUCUAGAUCCACAUUCUAAUAAAGAGUGAUUAUGGAGGUCCACAAAUACCCACAUAAGCGUGUUUUGCCUAUGUGGUAAUGUCAACGUGUCAUUUUUUAGAAAAUAUAUGGUAACAAAACUAGGGUAGUACAACAACGAAUAACACAUUUUUCCUCGCACAACAUAGAUUUUCAAAAUUGGAUGAUGAAAAAUCAAGUGUUGAAAGACAAUAAGGUCUUGUUUGUUUGAACUUCUUGGCAGCUUCUCAGUGUGAAAGAAUUAGAAUCUUAAACAAAACAAUGAAAUUCUCGUGCAGCUUUCAAAAAGUCAGAAGCCUAGAAAAGGCUGAGUUUUAUAUGAAAAAGUUUGGUUUUUUAGUUUUUCGUAGCAUUUUGAGUCCAGAAAACUAAACAUAUCUUCUAAAAGCUAUUGCAGGCUUUUCAUAACAAAAAACCAGCAGUAGCUUUUCAAAAAGCUUCAAAAAGCUCCAAAAGUUGCACCUCAAACAAACAGGUCCUAAAACACUGGAUAAAUCUAACGAGUGAAAUUGCAGGUUAGUUUUUAAACUCUAAGCCACUUAUGCUUUUUGGAGUUGUGCCAAACAAACCUGGAACCCUACAUUUUAAUUUGCCUCAACUAUUGGAUAACUCUAACGAGUGAAAUUCUGUUCAUAACAUUUUUAAUGGAAACUUUAUUAGUACUCGCACCAAUGUUGGUUUGCUUCUAGCAACAUUAAACUCUCUACUCUGGCGAAUGAUAAAAGAUACAUGUAGAAAUACAAUUCGGCUAAUGGCUGCUUAAGACAAUAUUUCUCAUGAUAUAUGCUUAAGUUUUACAUUUAUGCACAACAAACCCCCAUUUUUUCGAAGGCAUUGCCAAAGUAGUUAUUUGUAUUACUUUCAUAUAAUUGUAGAUUCAAAUAAUUUAGCUAAGCAUGUUGUUUUCACAUGUAUUUUGUUCUCUAUAGUUUAUCUAGAUAGAUAUGUGAAUCGCAAAGUUAUGUUGGGUAUGAACCCAGUGGUUGGUGGCUUGAUCCAUUCAAAUGUCGGUGACUAUUCAUGAUGGGCAAACUAGCUAGACUUAUAUAUGCUUUAUUCGUAAAGUAGAGAUGCAUAGGGCUUCCUCCUAUCACCCCUAUAUCUUGCCUCCUCGUUUUAGAUGAUAAAGUACAAAUUUUGUUAAAUGCUUUGAGUUUACGAGAUAUUUGAAAGCAAUUCUACUCACUAUAAGUAAUAUGUUCAUUUCUCUUAAUAUUUGCUUGUUUUUUUCCAAAAAAAGAAGUUAAAUGUUCAUUUUCUCCAUAAGCGUUAUCUUUUCUUGGCGGAGAGUUGGAGUUCGUUUCUAGGGAGUAGCUAGCUAGGUGAAUAAAUUUUGUUUUGGAAGAUGCUAGGUGAACAACAGAUGAACUCCAGUUAGGUCACCGGCUAGCAGAGGAGCAUGAGAGACAGCAGCGGCUUGCUCCCUCACCCCUCGCUCUCCCACUCCUGCUCCACGCCUGCUGCUCACCAUGAUUGAUGGUAAUUCUCCCCCUUAUCCUUCCAAUGGAUCUGCCAUCACUGGGUUUUCAACCUGGCAGAGUCUUCAGUGAAAAAAUUGGCAAGCGGUACGGUUUUUCGGUUAACUCUAUUGGGAAACUAGCAAGUUUGGACUUUCUCUUGCUAGUAUCUUUAAGUUGAAAUAAAUUCAGGCUCACUGAGGAAUCUAUUGGAAUCUACCUUCAAUCUGUUAUAGGAGGCUUUGCUAACUGUUUUUUAGUGCAUCAACUGGAUCAACAGGUUUUCAGAUUUGCUGUCUCUUGCAAACAAGUUGGUUUUGUUGUUUUGGGGCUCAACUCUUUUUCUUCGGUGGAUUUCAAGUUGGCUUUUCUUCUCUGCAAUGAUGCUAGCCUUGCGAAAGCUUUAGCAUUCUCCAAGUCUGAUUCAGGGCCCUCUUUCACCUAGGAAGAAGUUCAUUCGAAGAAAGGCAAACUCUCUUUUGCGGAUGUAGCCAGAGCUCCCCCUCCACCUCUCUCGGGAGCAAAUGCAGUUUUCCUGGGAGCUAAUGUUGCUUGGAGGAUCAAGAAUCAUUUGCAACGUUCAAGUUCAUAUCAUAUUGGCUCAUUUCAUUCUCAGUCGAGGCCUUCUGUUUUUCAGAGAAUUUCUUUCCCUCGCAAAUCGGUUUUUCAGCGUCUGGAAUUUGGAAAUUCACGGGAUAAUUUUCAAACUUCAAAAGGUCAACGGGCUGCAUUGGUUCAUGGGUCAAAAAGCCUAGCUUUCACGAGGCCCGGUACUGUUGCAGGGUUUCCCAUUUACCGUCUAAGGUGUUUAUCUCCCAACCAUUCAAGGAACGAUUGUCGAAGCUUGAUUAAGUGCUGGCACUGCAAACAACUAGGUCACGUCCUAAACUCUUGCUCACUUUUUUCACGAUCUCCAAAGGUUGAAGCAAUUAAGUGGUUGCUCAAGGAGCUGUAAAUUUUUUCCCGCUCUCUCGGUUGGCCUCCCAACGCUGGGAGCUCAUGGUUUAGGAACCCCAGGCUAUUGACUCAUGGGCCUAGCACAAUUGGGCCUCCGUGUUUUGCCUCCCUUGUUGAGUUUGGCUACUCUGUACUUAGCAUUCCAAGGGACAUUGCCCCUUCGUCUUCCUCGGCUCCCCCUCCUUCAUCCACACCAAACCCCAGUGAGGAACCUAAGCAAGAAGACGGUGGAGGUGAUCCUGCACCCUCACCCUCGACGAUGGCCUUCCUCAACAUCGACCCCACACCUAUGCUCCUCCCGGGUUUCAACAAAGUCUUGGUGGAAGGCAGAGAGAAGUACAUUAGGGUAGUCACUCCAAGGGCGCGAUAGGGCAACAAUGAUCUCGCAAUCGUCACCGUCUCCAAUCUGCCUCCCGGUGAGAUACCCUUUGCUGACCUCCGCAACAUCAUCCUAUAGCUCUUGGUAGAUGAGUAUGGUUUAGCAGUUAAGGAAGUUCAUAGAUGCCUCUUUGGUAGAGGUCAAGCUAUGUUCAUUUGAAUCGUGUUUCUGAUAGAGAUAUGUUGGUCCAUCAUAGUCCCCAUCAACUCCAUGGAAUGAACCUAGAUUUCAUCAAUCAUAAUAGAGGGGCAAAUGCUUGAAGGGUUGUUUUCAAUACAGAGUGUUGGCUCAUGCUUAUUGGUUACCCUCCAAAUGAUCAUUCUGUUGAGGACAUUUCAGAUGCAAUCAAAUCUUUUGGCAGACUAAUUGUAUGACAGAAAGAUAAUGUCCUGGCAAGAAUCAUUAUCAAAGCUCGCGUGACUGAUCUAGUGGAUGUACCUCACUACAUUAUUAUGUCAGAAGGUGAUAAUUCUGAGGGGGGCAUCCUUAACUGUCCAAUGUGAGAUUAUUCAUCAGAAUAUGUUAGGAGGCCUGCUGCAAGAUGAAGACAUUCCACCUGGUGGUCUUGAUGAUAACUUUGUCUUCCUUGGUUUUGGAGUUAACCAAGUGGAUCAGCAGUUUGAUCAAGAUCCAGCUUCCCUCAGCCACAGGCCUUGGAAAAUAAGGGCAAUGCUGACCAGCUCUUACCUAAUCUAAAUCAGAAUCCAGAUGAUCAUGUUCAAAAAGAGGACCAAGCCUAGGAAGUGGAUAAUGAUCAAGAAGAGGACAUUCAUAAACCUCCUGAAACCAUGAAACUAGAAGUGCAGCAACAAGUUGAGCUGGACCUGCAGCUCAGUCUGCCAGCUCCCCUAGGUUCCUCCUCCAACUCAACCAUUGCAUCCUCAGACACUUCUCCUAAGACAAAUGAGGAAAUCCAAGCUACAGUCCAAUCACAGCAGCAGGUGAAUGGACUUAAUAACCAUAAAGAUGAACAAGCAGAAGAGCAAUUGAAUGCUGAGGUGGUGUUUGCUUUACCUGCUAUUCCUCAAGGACAGGUUGGUCAUAGCAUUGUUGAACCAGUUAACAUCAUGCCCCAGGAAGGUGAAGGGGAUCACAUGGACAUUGAUCAAAAUCAUCACGAUCGCCUCCAAGAGUUGGCUGCUCCAAUCCUUCCAGUUCACAAUCAGCAAAAUCAAAUUCAAGAGUUGGCUGCCCCAGGACAUGGCAAUGAUCCAGUUAUUAAUUUGAACUUGAACAUCAACAUGGCCCUCACCAGCUUUGACAACUUCCAGUCCAUGGAUCCAAAGCCCUUUGAUUUUUUUGGAUCAAUGAUGCCAGCAAUCCAAAGCCUGAUCUCUAUAGGCUUUGGGCCAAACACUUUUCUCCAGUGGGCUGCCCUGAGCAUGUGGUCCAGAUCCCAAGGAUUGGGCCUCUUUCUUUACUGUCAUGCCUUUAUCACCAAACCAGUUUGAAUGGGCUAAGAAGUUCCUAUCUUCUCAGGCUUAGAGAGUCAUGUUAAAAUGCACUGAUUUGUCAGCAAUGAUGUCAUUUUACCCUGGCAGCUGAUUGCCCUGAAAAUGCUGAAGUUAAAUGCUCUCCCCCUAAGGAGUUCAUGGAUAGCUCAUCUGUCAAUGAAUCAUUUGAUACCCCCCUUUUGGAUGAGGAAUCUCUCAAGAUGAAUGCUAACUCUGAUGAAACACCACCUACCAGUACAAGGAAAUCUCGUAGGUCCACUCCUGUGGUGGAAACUGAAACAAGAAGGGGUCUAAGAAUUAGAGACAACAACAAUGACUUUAAGCAUGAUAGUUGUACUAGCAGAAACUGUAUGGUCUGUGCUACGCAACCCCCAGCCAUUCCAGCUGCAACUCUUAAGAACAUUGGUGAAUCUGUGUGCAAAAUAACACCUGGUGUGUUAUCAGCUGAUACCAUACUCAAUAAGAACAAGACCAAGAAACCAGUUGGAGACCAGAAGACUUCAAAGAAGGUGAUCUCCUCUAAGAAGGAAAAGGGCAAGAGCAAGCAAGAAGAUAAUGAUCCCAAUGAAGCAAACAAGAAAGGCAAGAAGUAAUCGGUCACUAUGUGUCCUAGGUGUGUGUAGUUUCAUAGUUCUGGGGACCCAUCUCCCUCUUUUGUUGAUCUAUAUGGAUUCUGGUGGUUUGUGCACCUUAAGGGUGACUUUUAAAACUCUAGUGAACUGGUUUAUCGGUAUGAUGGGAUUUCUUUUCUGUUUGGUCUGGUUCCUCAAAGCCUCUUUGUUGUGAUGUUUUAUUUGCAUUUAGUUGUGUGCUGUGCACCCAGCUUUUUUCCUCGCUUCCCAUGUCUCAUAAAUGAAUCAGAAUCAAAAUAGAAGAACCUGAACAGUUCUAUACUGGAACAUAAGGGGAAUCAAUUUAGAAGGCAAGUGGGAUACCAUUAGAAGCAAAAUUAUUGAAUAAAACAUGAUGUUGUAUGUUUACAGGAAACUAAAAAAGGAAUUCUUUAAUGCUCAGUUCAUUAAAAAAUUUUGUCCACACAGCUUUGACUCUUUUCAAUCUGUACCCUAUGUUGGAGCUUCAGGAGGAAGCAUCAUUCUAUGGAAUAAUCUGAAAUUUAGUAGUCAACUCACUUUUCAAAACAAUUAUGCUCAGUCAGUGGAAUUUCAGUGUCAACUAUCUGGGAAAAAUUGGAUCCUAACCAAUAUAUAUGCUCCUUGUACUCCUGAAGGGAAGCUGGUUUUCCUAGAUUGGUUUAAACAAAUUGAAAUGCCUGAGGAUUUCACAUGGCUUAUCGUUUGUGACUUCAACCUAAUUAGAUCUCCAAGUAAUAGAAAUAAACCGGGUGGGAAUAUUCAAGAAAUGCUGAAAUUCAAUGAAGCAAUUAGCAGACUGAGACGGGUGGAAAUACCUCUUAAAGGCUAUAAGUAUACAUGGACAAAUAAACAACAGAACCCAUGAGAGAACUUGAAAGGUUAGGAAUAGAGAUAAAAUCCCAUGAGCCAAAAAUGUCACUUCAAGCAAUUCAAAUUAAGCCAACCUUGCAAGAGGAAAUCUUAGACAAACAAUUAGCUGACACAACUAUGCAAACUCUAAAGAAAAAUAUAGUAGAAGGGAAAGUUAGUGAAUUCAGAAUUGAUCAACAGGGUCUAAUACGGUUCCAAAAUAGGUGUGUCUCCCAAAUUAUGCUACACUCAAAAAUAAAAUUUUACAAGAAGCCCAUUCCUCCCUUUACACAAUCCACCCUGGGAGCACAAAGUCUGCUCAUUUCCUACCGGUUAAAAGAACAUAUUCCUUAAAAAAAUAUGCCAAGCUUUAUAUCCAACAAAUAGUAUCUUUGCAUGGGGCCCAAUAAAAAUUGAAUCUGAUAGAGAUCCUCGUUUUGUUUCCGUUUUUUUGAGAAGCUUACUUAAGUCACUUGGAACAAAUCUAGAGUUUAGUACAACAUAUCAUCCCCAAACCGAUGGUCAAACGGAAAGGGUCAACUAAAUCAUAGAGGAUAUGCUUAGAGCUUGUGUUCUUGAAUUCAAGGGAGCAUGGGAUGAAUAUUUACCUCUAGCAAAAUUUACUUAUAAUAACAACUACCAAGCUAGUAUUCAAAUGGCACCGUAUGAAUCUCUGUAUGGGAGAAGAUGUCGAUCACCUAUUUGUUGGGAUGAAGUUGGAGAAAGGAAAAUGUUAGGACCUGAAAUAAUACAAGAGUCUGAAGACAAAGUAAAAGUCAUCAGAGAACGAUUGAGGAUAGUCCAAAGUAGAUAAAAGAGCUAUGCCGAUAAUAAAAUAAGGAAGCUUGAGUUUGAUAUAGGAGGACUAGUAUGUCUAAAAGUGCCACCAAUGAAAGGAGUAAAUAAGAAACUAAGUUCAAGAUAUAUAGGACCAUUUUCAAUUAUUGAGAAAAUUGGAGAAGUGGCAUAUAGACUAGAACUACCAGAUUCACUUGCAAGAAUUCAUAGUGUGUUCCAUGUGUCAAUGCUCCAAAAAUACCUUCGUGAACUAGAAGAAUAUAUUGAAAUACCAAGAGAACAACUACAAGAAGAUUUAACCUAUGAAGAGUAGCCAACACAUAUCCUUGAUACAAAGGAGAGAGAAACAAGACGUAAGACCAGUCGAUUCUUCAAGAUUCAGUGGAGCAAUCACUCAAAAGAUGAGACCACAUGGGAACAAGAAGAGGAUAUAAGGAAAACCUAUCCAUACCUAUUCCAAAUAUGAAGGUAUAAAUUUCGAGGAAUAAAUUUAUUAAGGAGGAAAGACUGUAAUAAUCUAAAAAAUGUAAAUACAUAUGGACCAUUGUGUAAUGUUUAGAUAUUAGACUGCAGUUUUGCUCAAGCCUGCAACUGCAAAAUCGCAAAACCAAGUCCAGAACUGUGUUGAAUAGUAUAUACGAUGUUUGUGCUGUAGCAAUAAAAUAAAUUAAGGGAAAGAAAGGAGAUAAGAAGGAGAUGUAGCUUGCAGUAGUAAAAAAUAAUAAUAAAAGAAGGUCCUGGACACUAUAAGCUUCCUUAGCUCCCACGUAUCCCAGCAGAUAGAGAUUAGAAAACUCAACCAUGGUAGAAAUUAACCCAACCAUGAUCAAGUCUUGCAGUAUAUAUACAGCCCUCUCCUCCACUCACAGUCUGCACAAAAAAUUCUCAAAAACCAAAGCACAAUAGGGUUGGGAGAGAUCAAGGGAAAUCUGAGGUUUGGAAGUAAUCUUGUUGCUAAAGUAUGCACCUUUAACAGAUUUACUUUCUUACUGCUCUUGAUUUCUGUUCUUUUCUCCCUGUUCCUGCUAGUUCUCUUAAGUCCCAUACAUGUCCAGUACUAGUGCUUGUUUGUGUAUAGCCUUUGCCUUGCUUCCCGUAACAAGCUGAGUUAGUUAAACUACAUGUUCCCAGUCAUGCUUGUAGUAUUUUAAUAUAUAUAGUCAAUCACACACAAGGGCACACCGUACUUGGCAACUAAAUUAACUAAACAUUGUACUUACAUGUUCACUGAUAAAUGAUGUUAGUUGAUGAACCAUGGUCCUGAUGCCAGCAUCAUUGCUUCCGGCAAGAACUUAGUACUCUGGAUGAAUGCAUGAGUUCAGAGCUCUGUAAUUAGAAUAAAAUAACCGAAGAAAACAUGUUUGACCUUACUAAAAUCUGAUGACUAUUUUACAUACAAAAGAACAUCUAUAUAGAUUGUCACACUUGAUGUUGCUUGAACUGAACUGAUGAAUACAUGCACAUGGUAUUGAUCUAAAUAUUACCCAGUUUGUAGUAUUGAUGAAUAUGUGCCCACUUGAUGAAAUGUCAACAUUUAAUAAUUACUCUCACUAAUUAAGUUGAAUGCUAAAGACUGUAAUAAUUUAAUUGAAACUCAUCCAAUAUGUUAGGUCCUGAUUGCAAGGAGGACAAGGAAGAACACAGUGAACCAAUCAAGGCAAGCUGCGCAUAUCAGAACCUAUUAAAUCAUGACAUAUGUAACUAAAUAUGAGAUGAUAAUUAAAAACUGAACUCUAGUCAUCAUAAUUUGGGAAAUGAAUUGUUUAUUACUUAGCCUGGGACAACCAAUCCUUAAAACUGUGAUAUGCAGCAAGGCUGGUAUCUGGGUGAGAUAGGCAUCCUCACUCAAGUAGAGGAUAUGAUGUAGGUUUCUCAAAGAUGGGGUAAUACUAUAAGGUGGAAAUUAUGGUGGCUUAAUGAAUACUUCUCCGUAGAGAAAUACUAAAGACUAUGAACUAUUAUUGUCCCUGUUUAUCUUUUAAUGCCAACUCUCCUGUGGUAAGUAGGAACAUAUGUUCAGAACUUAACUUGCUGAGUAUGGUAACAUGCUCAUUUGCUUGCUUGUGUUUUACUGAUAUGCGUAGAAAUGAAAGAAGAGGAAGGUGUGGUCGGGAUAGGGAGUGAUGACUAUGAACAACAGUAGCUGUAGUUUAGUUUCUAUCACAAUAAAAUUGGUGAUUAGUACACCAAUGCAACUCUUGUAUGCUUGGAAUCAUGAAUAAAGAAUGAAUGUCACUUUAGUUAAGAUGAAACUACUAUUCCAUAUUGCCUUGUACCCUUAUGAACUGCAAGUGUUUACAAGUGUACGGCGGCUGCCAUCUCCAAGUUUAUGUUUAGGGUGUGACAACUAUCAGAGAUGAAUUUGGCCAGGAACAUAGAGGACAUGAGGAAAAGGUAAAUCUCUUGUGAAAUGCCUACAAAGACACGAUGGGAACUACUGAAUUUACACAUAUGUACUUUGAUUUGGAUGAUCUGCUUGUCCCAAAUCAAUGAGUUAAACUAGUUGGAGGAACCCUUCACUAAGGAAGAAAUUGACAAAAUUAUUGCUGAUCUCCCAAACAAUAAGUCACUUGGGCCGGAUGGCUUUAAUCGGGAAUUUUUGAAAAAAAAACGCUGGCCUCUAAUCUCACAAGAAUUUUAUGAUCUUUAUGAACAAUUUUUUGAUAGAAAUAUAUGUGUGAGAAGUAUUAAUAACUCAUACAUGACAUUGAUACCUAAGAAGGAUCGCCCUUUAUUUGUUGGGAUUUUAGGCCAAUUUUGCUCCUAAAUUCAUCCAUCAAGCUAAUCACCAAAAUCUUAGCAGACAGGCUGCAACAAUUGAUUCUCAGAUUAAUCCACCAAAAUUAAUAUGGAUUAAUUAAAAGCAGAUCCAUCCAAGACUGCUAGUAUGGCCUUUGAAUAUCUACACAUUUGCAAGGCUUCCAAGAAGGAGAUAGUGAUCCUAAAACUUGAUUUUUGAAAAAGUCUUUGAUAAAAUUGAGCAUCAAGCCAUUAUGGAAAUUCUCAAAUACAAAGGAUUUGGUGGUUGAUGGAUUGGUUGGAUUAAAGACAUAUUGAGCUCAAGAACCUUCUUCAUUAUUCUGAAUGGUGUACCAGGGAAAGUAUUUCACUGCAUAAAGGGUGUCCGACAAGGAGAUCCCCUCUCACCAUUACUCUUUGUCCUUGCUGCAAAUUUGUUACAAUCCAUAGUUAACAGAGCCAAAGACCAAGGUUUGCUCACAUUGCCUAUCCCUAAAAAGGCUGGUGAUGAUUUUCCAAUUAUUCAGUAUGUUGAUGAUACUCUACUAGUUAUGGAAGCCUGUCCUCAGCAGUUGGCAACCCUUAAAGAAUUAUUAAACUCCUUUGCUAAUUCUACUAGGUUAAGGGUUAACUACAGCAAGUCAGUCAUGGUACCACUGAACAUCUCUGAAGAAAAAUUUGAAAGCCUAUCGGUCGCAUUUAAUUGUCUCAAAGGCAACCUCCCAUUCACAUAACUUCGUCUUCCUCUAGGGACUACAAAGCUAGGCAUAGAAGAAUUCCUACCUCUGAUUCAGCGAAUUGAAAAAAAGGCUUACAUGCACCUCGACAUUCCUCACCCAAGGAGGAAAAUUGGAAAUGGUCAAUUCAGUGCUUUCAUCAUAUGUAGCUUUCUACAUUUCAACCAUGAGGCUACACAAAGGAGUCAUCAAGUAGAUAGAUAAAUACAGGAAACAUUGCUUAUGGAGUGGGGCGGAUCUAAAUUCAAAGAAGCCGGCCAAAGCUGCUUGGCCUAUGGUCUAUGUACCAAAGAAGGAAGGAAGACUAGGAGUCAUAAAACUCUCAGUUCACAAUGAUGCUCUUCUACUCAAGUUCUUACACAAAUUUUUCAACAGGGCCGAUAUCCCUUGGGUUUACUUAUUAUGAGGAAAUUACUAUUCCAAUUGUAAACUGCCUGGAUAAUUCAAAAAGGGAUCCUUCUGGUGGAAAGACAUUAUCAAGCUCCUUGACUCCUUCAAAGGACUUGCUUCUGUUGUUAUUGCAGAUGGCUCCACUGUCUUCUUCUGGACUGACAUCUGGAAUAACAUUGUACCCUUAAUGGCAUUCCUAGAACUUUUCUCUUUUGCCAAGAACAAGUUCAUCUCAUACAAGACUAUUGCAAAUCGGCCAAACCUUAUUCGGAACUUUCACUUACCUCUCUCAAUUCAGGCGCAUCAACAAUUUCAUGAACUGGAGGAGAUAUUACUAAGUAAUUUGCCAUCGACUGAUAAAAAUCAGUGGCAAUACAUAUGGGGUAAUCAUAACUUCUCAGCAUCAAAGGCAUAUAAAGCUCUCAUUGGACACGGUUCAUCCAACCUUCCUAUGGAUAUGGAGAUCAAAAUGCCAAAUGAAGCAUAAGGUGUUCUUCUGGCUAUUUCUCAAGGAUUGACUCAGUAGAGACCUAUUAAGAAGGAAAAACAUGGCUCUAGAUUCGUAUGUGUGUGGACUCUGCAUCCUCCAAAGAUUGCAAACUGUUACCCACCUCUUCCCAAGGUGCAAUUUUAUCAUCUUGAUAUCGUGGUGCAUCUGGACGACUAGGAAUGAUUGGUUGUUCAACAAUGAAGAUCACUCGGUUGAUUCCUGUAGAAGGAAAUACGAAUUCUCUCUUGUUAUGCUAAGAGUAAGCCUAGUUCUGAACCUGCCAUGUCAGCUUGGAUCGAUAGUCUGUAAUUUUCCUUUGGCUAUUUCCCUUUUUUUUCAUGUUUACUUAAUUUUUAGUCUGUAACUUUAAAAGUAGUAGGGGCUUGCCCCUCCUGUUCCUUAAAAAAAAUCAAGAAUUAACUUAUGUCGCGAGUAAGGAGUAAUACUGAAAACCCUAAAACCAAUACACAUGGGUUCUUUUUUCCCCCUUUUUUGUGCGCUCACUUAUCAGAAUUUUGGUCAUACGGGUCCAGGGGCACGUCAGGGCGUCGAGGUCGUUAGCCUCGGAUGCAGCCGUGGUCCUAAAAGGGCAGAACAGAAAUGAGGGGGCUGGACCCAUGGAUCAGGUGGUCCGGAAUGCGUCGUUGCACGGGGGUACCCUCCUGUAACAAGAAUUUGCCGAUAGGCGAACGCCACCCGUACUUAACCUCCUGCAAAUGCUUGCAUUAUCCUCAAUAAGGAAUUAAGGAUCCCUUGCAGCACUGCCGAAAGCACAAGCUCACCUAAUCAAGCUUAUGUAGGUUUUGUCAGUUUGGCACCCAUGGAACACGCCGUCCGUACCCCAGCAGGAGCACAUGGCACCAACCAAAAUGAUUUCAACAACCGUUUCCACAUCUGAAAAUCCGGCCACGGGAGAGACCUCUGAAACUGGCAAGACUUUACGCAAAGCUUCCCGUCGAGGACGGCUCCGAAACUGUGAAAUGUUUCCGUCUGCGAGCUGGAUCUCGAGCGAUGGGGAGGAGGAACGUGCGCUCUGAAUAUUUUUUGCACCAGGCAGGUGACGCCCCGAUCGAUCGAACGGGGGCGGGUCGCCCUCGCCCUCUUUCUUUCUCUUCCGGAAAACGAGGCCCGCUCGAUGGGGUGGCGUAUGGCAAGCGAGCAGGCUGGAAGAUGCUCCCGUCUGCGUCGAGGCGGCGAUGGUCCCCGAGACCUUUGCGUUCUGUGCUGCACGGCCGGAGCGGUCCUCGUUUGUUGGUUCAGUCGGUUGCGGCUCCCUUUCUGCUGUGAGAAACUUUUAGUUUUUUCUUUCAACAAUUGUAUUGCCUGAGAGGGUAACAGACGGUUUGGUUUGUAAAAGUUUCAGGGAAGAGCAGGGGUGUGUUAGAUGUGCUAAGUCUAUCAACUUGCCGUAAAAUCGUGGUGGCGCUUCCAACCUGUCCGUGAGCGGUCGCCAUCGGUUUUGACAAAGCGGCAACCUGCUGACUGUGAUGAGAUGGAGAGGCGCUAGAAAUGAAGAGAAACCUCCUUCUAUACUGAGAGGAUAGCUGCAAGCUGCUAAUUGUCUCUCUGAAAUGUAUGAAUUAGAAAGCACCAUCACCUGCUAAAGAUUUGAAAACGCGGUUGCGUUUAUAUAUAUGAUUUAUACGAAAGAGCGCUCAUCACGUGCGUGUGCGCGAGAGGAUGAGGUUAAUUAUUUGAGCUGUGUUUGCUUUCCUGUGUAUGUGGGAGGAAUGCAUGAUAAGGAUUUCGUGAGUUCACUCUCAUGUUCCAAACAUAUAUUUUGUACAGAAAAAGAAAAUCAACGAUUAGGAAAUUUGAACUCUCCAAAACUUUUCAGCGAAUGUUGUGCAUAAAGGUGGCCCUUAGGGUGUAUUGUGUGCAAUAUUAACAUCGCAAGAUGGAUUGCGUCAUUUGUAUCAUGCGUUAAUCGACAUUGUAACACUAAUGGCAUACGGUUGCACAUUAUAGCUACGAUGAAACAUGGAGUGCAGGAUGAAACAGAUCAGCUCAAAUACAUUGUGCAUGAGUCGAUGACGAUACAAAAGUUGAAAAACUCAACUCCAAGACGCAGAGCUAUGCAGGGUCGACGGGUUUCAGUCGUGUCCACGAUAAUCAGAUAUUCAGACAGUGGCAAUACGGAUUAUCAGAUAUUCAGACAGAGGCAACACGGAUUGUUGGUUCAACGUCCUAAAUCAGACAGAGCUUAUCGGUCUGUGUGCUGUCCAUUUCCCUGUGGUACUAGUACUGCUACUGUACAACAUCACCAGAAAAAAAUACCUACUGGCAGCUGCCAGCGGCGAGCACGAGUCACCGAUGAGUAAACGAGGCAGCGAGCGAGUGAAAGCAUGACCAGACAAAAGCAGCAUCGGCGGCGGUGCUAAUCCGAAUAUUAGCAGUAAGUAUCACUCAACCUGCUGUUACUGUGAGAAAAGCGCGUGUCCUAUCGGAGUAGUAACAUCAGAUUAGGUGCCGAGUUACCAUCACGGCGCACGACGCCAUUGGUGUGGUCAUCCAUCGAUCCGUCCAUGCUUUAAUAAUGAUACGAACAGUUCUAGCUUAAGCUAGGGAUUUUUUUCAAGAGAUGUGACCUUCAGUCGUCAGAAGAUUGGUCUCUGACUCUCUGGUUAAGUCAUUCACCCCCCUUAUUCAGGCCUUUUCUUUUGCAACUAACGAAAGUGAAGUAACUUACGGGGCGUUUUCUUCUCGUGUCUUAUUUUUAGCACGUGUCACAUCGAAUGUUUAGAUACUAAUUAGGAGUAGUAAACGUAGACUAUUUACAAAACCAAUUACAUAAGUGGAAUCUAAACGGCGAGACGAAUCUAUUAAGCCUAAUUAAUCCAUCAUUAGCAAAUAUUUACUGUAGCAACACAUUGUCAAAUCAUGGACUAAUUAGGCUUAAUAGAUUCGUCUCGCCGUUUAGAUUCGUCUUAUGUAAUGGGUUUUGUAAAUAGUCUACGUUUAAUACUCCUAAUUAGUAUCUAAACAUUCGAUGUGACGGGUGCUAAAAUUUAGCAAGUGGAAGAAAACAGGUCCUUAGUCGCAUUUCGACUUCAAUGCUCAAGAAAAAAGAUUCGUAUCCAAAUUCAUAUAGAAUGCUUGAGAGCCCAUGGAAGCUUCCUUUCCCACCCGUGUUACCCUUUUGGAAUAUUUUCAAGUCUUGCAUUUGAGUAGAAUUCUAAGUGCCUGGAACAAUCCAAUCUCGUGUUCUGUAUAUAUGCAUUACGAAGUGAGGUUACAAAGAGAGUUUCUUUAUGUCUCUGAAAAGGUACCAGAGUUAAUUAUAACACAGAAUUGAUACAGUUUUUAUUAUUUUUCAUGGAAUGUAAAAAAAUCCCACCUACGAUAGCCACUGAAAUAUCCAAUUUGCAGUAAGGUUUCACCAAAAAAAAAAGGAAAAAGAAAAU
rnacentral:lncRNA from 1 species